AUUUGUCAGGAUAUACUUUCAAAGAGGGAGAGUACGUAUAUUUCUUCCCCUUAUACUGCCCUUAAUCUGAAAAGAUGACUUUACCUGAAAUUCAAUUUUCUUUACAUAAAACUCAACCUAGUUUUUGUGCUUGACUAAUUAAGCUUAACAAGUUAGAUUUUAUAUCUUUUGGUUUCCUAAAACACACCUAAUAACAAUUUGAUUCUCUUGCAUAUUUAUAUCCUCUUAUUGUGUUAAACCUAUUGCAAGUUUAACUGGUCAUUACUAAUUGCGUUAAAUUUCGAAUUGGCUGGAUUAAUUACCCGAGUGUACCCAUUUUUUGUUGUUCAAAUUUUAAAUUUAUUAAUAUAUUUUGGUUUCCUAAUUUGCCUUUUUAUUCAAAAUGGUCCCUGAGAUUUGCAUCAUCUAUAAGUUUGGUCCCAGAGAUUUAAAAUCAAUAGAAGUAGAGUAGUCAUUGAGAUUGUCCACCAUCUAUGAUUUUGGUCCUUCCGCUGAAGCUUUUGGCCGGAAGUUUGGGCAAUUUUCAAAGCUUCGUAACUCAAUCGUUUCUUAACCAAAUUCAACCCGUAAUAUAUCAAAAUGAAGAUAGGAAAGUAUAUAAUAAUAUUAUAUCAUUUGGAAGCCCAAUGGUUGUCGGAGAUGGUCGGAAAACAGCCUCCAAAUUGACUGGUCAGAUGAAAAAUUGGAAAACUCGUCGGAAACUGGGUAAACUUUAAACAUUCAUAACUUCUUCAAUACUCAACGAAAUUAAGUGAUUAAAAAACAAAACUCAUACUUCUCGACGAGAAGAAGAGAAUGGUACCUUUUUCAACGGCUAAAUCGCCGUGGUUUUGCCGGAAAAUGGCUCGAAAGUUUCUGACUUGUUUUUCAACAGCCACUUUCAAGCCGUUUUCCGGCCAAACCAUGGCGCGUUAGCCGUUGAAAAAGGUACCAUUAUCUUCUUCUCGUUGUGAAGUAUGAUUUUAGUUUUUGCAAUUGAUUUCCUUGAGUAUUGAAGAAGUUAUGAACGUUUAAAGUUUACCUAGUUUUCGGCGAGUUUUCGGCAAAUUUUCCAAUUUUCCCUCGGAUCAGUCAACUUUGAGGCUAUUUUCUGACCAUCUCUGGCAAUCAUUGGGUUUCCAAUUCGAUAUAAUCUUAUUCUACACUUUACUUUCUUCAUUUUGAUAUAUUAUUGGUCGAAUUUGGUUAAGAAACGAUUGAUUUACAAAGUUUUGAAAAUUGCCUAAACUUCUGGCCAAAAGCUUCAGCAGAAGGACCAAAGUCAUGGAUGGUGGACAAUCUCAGGGACUACUUCUAUUGAUUUUAAAUCUUAAGGACCAAACUUAUGGAUGAUGCGAAUCUCAAGGACCAUUUUGAAUAAAAAGUCUUCCUAAUUUUGUUUGAAAAAUCAAUUUACCUAUGGUGUUGUUUUAUAAUUUACCGAUUACUAAUGAUGUUUGGUAAAUUAGUAUGUUUAGGAAAGAAAUGAUUCAUAUCCAUACAAAACAUCUUUUUUUCAUCCGAACAACAAAAUAACAUUUAAAUGCAAAAAAAAAAAAAUGUCUGUCUUAAUAUUUUUUUUAACAAAAGGAAAAAAAAGAGUCAAUGUCCUAAGUAUGGAAAGAUGUUAGGAUUUUACACAGUAAUAAACGGCAAUGUCAAAUUGUGAAUAAUGGCAUAGGGGUAAAUCAUUUUCAUUAAUGGGUCAAUUAUUAUCUUACAUGAUUCUGUAUUUAGUUGCAAGCGGCACAUGCUUGACUGCAGCAGUGAUUAUCCAUACCUCUGUUUUUUUCAAUUUUUUUUUCUUUUUAUUCUCUUCUUCUUUUUACAUUUUUUUUUUCCUUUUUCAAAGAAAUAUAGCAGAAAAAGUUGAUUGGCUAAAUGUGUCAAAUUUUUAUAUAAACUGGUAGGUAUGAAGCUACAUUUAUCGGUCAGAUCGUGAACGAGAUCCUAAUCCGUGUACUACAACGCCCGCAUUUGAAUGUAGCCAAAUACCAAGUUGGAAUGGAGUCUUGUGUAGAAAAGGUGAAAGAGCUUUUAGAUGGUGGAAAUGAUCCGUGUGUGGUUGGGAUUUGGGGGGCAUCUGGAAUCGGCAAGACAGAAGUUGCAAAAACUGUUUAUAAUGCAAUUGCUUAUAAGUUUGAAGGUCGUUGUUUCCUGGCAGAUGUUCGAGAAAAGUCAAUGCAAUACGAAGGCCUACUCCAACUACAAAACACUCUUCUAAGUGAGAUUGGUGGUUCAGAGUGGAAAGCUGUCAAUACUCAUAGAGAAACAUCCUUAUAGAGAAACUGUUGAGGCGAAAGAAGAUUCUCUUAAUUCUUGAUGAUGUGGAUGAACUGGAGCAUUUAAACAACUUGGUUCAAGUUGAAUGGCUCGGUGAGGGUAGCACAAUGAUCAUAACCACGAAAGAUAUUGGAUUGUUGAAAUCUUAUGACGUUGAGUUGAUAUACAAGGUCCAAAAGUUAAAAGACGACAAGGCUCUUGAGCUUUUAAGUUGGAAUGCCUUCAGAAAAAAAGAACCUUCAGAUGAUUAUUUGGGACUCGCACGACGUGCAAUAGCAUAUGCUCAAGGCCAUCCGUUAGCACUUAAUCUUAUAGGUUCUUAUCUACAUAAUAAAAGUAUAGAUCGUUGGCAAGCUGUAAUGGAUAGUUACGAUUCUUACGAUAGAGAACCUUAUGGAGGAAUUCAAAAAAUACUUCGAAAAAGUUAUGAUACCUUGGAUUAUGUCAUGCAACAAGUUUUUUUAGACAUUGCAUGCUUCUUCAAGGGCGAAGAUAAAGAUUACGUGUUACAAAUAUUAAGAAGUUCGAAGCUCAGUGUACCUCAAGAUUGUAUUGAUGUACUCGUUGAGAAAGCCAUCAUAACUAUUGAAUAUAAUAGAAUUUUGAUGCAUGACUUGCUAGAAAAAAUGGGUAAGCGUAUAGUUCGUGAAGAAUCGCCCACUGAACCAGGCGAGCGGAGCAGAUUGUGGCAUCCUGAACAUGUGUAUCGUGUUCUAACUGAAAACAGAGUAAGUAGAAUAUAUGUUCUUGCAUUUGGUUUAAUUGGCAUGAUUUUGAAAAGAAAAAAAAAUAGAAAACCCUUCUGGUUGGUUUGUUAUACGAUUUGUUUGUUAACACUAUUUAUUUUUCCAUCUUAGGGAACAAAGAAAAUUAAAGGCAUUGUGGUGAAGUUGCCCAAACCAGAUGUGAUACCCUUGAAUGCAAAAAGCUUUUUCAAGAUGGAAAAUCUUGAAAUUUUUAUAAUCCGUAAUGCACACUUUUUUGGAUGCGUUGAGUAUCUACCUGACGAUUUGAGGUGGAUUGAAUUUGGUGGAGAUGGGCUUCAAGACUGGGGAUCCAAUAUUCUUCAAAAGCAUAUAUUUACAUUCAAUUUGCAAUCCAAUUGUCAUCUAAGGCAUCUUGUCACGUUUAUUAUGCCAAACAGUGACAUCAGACAAUUGAAGGUAUUUCAGGUAUGUAUACGUAUUAUAAAUUAAUUUGGACAAUUACUAAUUUAAUUGUAUAUUUUAUUUUUGGAAAAAGAAAUUUGCCAAAGCUUUUCAUCAUUAAUUAUUCUAUUUAAAGUUUGUGAUUUUGUUUUCUUUUGAUUUUGAUUUCACAGAAUUUGGCAAAGCUUACAUCUUUGGAUUUAAGUGGUUCCGAAUUCUUAGAAAAAAUUCCCAACUUAUCCGGAAGUCCAAACCUAAGGGAGUUGAUUCUAGAUGAGUGUAAAAGUUUAGUUGAAGUUGAUGAUUCUGUUGGAUUCCUUGAUAAACUUGAUACAUUAAGUCUUUAUGGGUGCUCUAGGCUUGAGAGAUUUGCGACGAGACUUAGAAUGAGAUCCCUUCAAAGCCUUAAUCUUGAAGGUUGCACAAGGCUCAAGAGUUUCCCAGAAAUAGAGGCCAAGAUGGAAUCUCUACAGUAUUUGAACAUAUCAGAAAGUGGCAUAAGAGAAUUGCCUUCAUCAAUUGCAAAUCUAACUGGGCUUGAAAUGUUGAAUGCAAAUGAAUGUGAAAACCUUACAGGUACAUCAUUACAUCACAUUUAUGGGUUGCAACAUCUCGACUGUAUUGAAAUGGAUGGAUGCCCAAAACUGGUGAUAUUUGGGAAGUUUUCAACUAGCUUAGAUACUUCACAUUACAACAGUGUCCCAUUAGCCCUUUUCAACGUACGCCAUCUUUAUCUUGGUGAAUGCAAUUUAUCAGAAAGUGAUUUUCUUGUGCCUCUUCAAUAUGAACCAUCCAGUCUUCAUUGCUGGUGGUCCACAUUAACAGAUCUUAAUCUGUCGAGAAACAAUUUUGUUAGUCUUCCGAAUUGCAUUAGCAAAUUUGUCAACUUGGAAACACUUUAUUUGACUGGUUGCAAGAGGCUUCGGGAAAUUCCACAUGCCCUUCCACCAAAUCUAAGUUGUUUAUUUCUGGAAGAGUGCUCAUCAUUGGAGAAAAUUCCAAAGUUGCCCUCGGGGCUUAGGCUUCUGCGGUUGACUAAUUGCUUUAGACUAAGUGGCGAUGAGGUGGCAAAGUUGGAAAAUAAUUUGUUGAACUUGAAUCAGGUUCGUCUCUCCUCUCUUAAUUUCUCUUGAAGUUAAAAUAUAUAAUUUGUAGAUACUUGGGAGGGAGAACCGAUCAUGAUUGUUUGUAAUUAGUUAUUUACAUAUUAUUCACUAUUGCAGGAAACUCUUCGGUGCUCUCAAUUGCAGGUUACGUAUCCAGGCGAUGAAGUUCCAAAGCGGUUCAACUAUACCUCUAAACAUUCAACUAUACCUUAUUAUGGUGGAAGUGAAUUUAGUUUUGAAAUUCCUCUAAAUUUACAGGAGAGGGAGACGUUAUUAGGAUUGGCUCUAUCUUUUGUUUUUCAACCACGGCCUUUAUCAGAAGAAUUUGGAUAUGAUUACAAUUUUCGUAUUCACAUCAACGAAGCAAGUGAUUAUAAAGAAUUUAAGUGGAAUGGGGAAGGCAUGGAGACAGCUCAUGUGGGGCUCAUGUUAGUGGAUUUAGAGAAGCAGGGAGAAAGCCCAUGUGGGGCUCAUGUUAGUGGAGAUAUUUGUAAAGUUAAAUUUCAUUUCCCCGCAGGGGCAGGCAUUAAAAGCUGCGGGGUGCAGCCCCUAUUGCGCAAAGGAGAUGAACAGCUUCCCUCGUCUUUGGAACCAACGAGUAGCCUUGGAUCCUCAGAUAUCGUCAAUGAUGAAUAUGAUCGGCAACAACAAUGGCCUUCCUUAUCUUCGAACCCAGCGGAUGAUCAUCCGACACACACACAGAUUGAUCACAAUGUUCCUUCUGAUAUUGAGGAGGAGCAAGAGCAACCGUCCACCAUUUCUGAUUUACUAGGAGUUUGGGUACGUACAUUUCAGUUUUAGUGAUUUUUUUUUUAUUAUUCUUUAUUGUGAUAUCUUUUUUAAAUUAAUAUAAUUAAAAUUAAUUAAUUUAAAUUAAAUAAAGGAAAAUUUUUGAACAAUCUGCAUAAUCAAAGAUUUCAUAUCUUUAGAAACAAAGAUUUCAUAUUUGUAGGUGGUUAGUUAUUAGAAUCAACUUGAUUGAUCUCGACCCUCAUGAUCUCAUAGGUCUCGGCCUGCGUCGGUUGUUUAAAUUUCUGGUGUAAGCCAAGAAAGUGAACUCAUUAAUGCUGCUGCUCUAGUUAGUCAGCCUGUUGUUUCUGCCAAGGAACCGACAAGCCUGCGGUCUAUUUGUGUUCCACCAUCGGAACCUGGGAGUGACGCGUGCAUUAGUUGUUGGAAUUGGACUUCAAAUUCUUGAACAGGUUUGGUUGAAAAAGUUAAAAGGGAAAUUUUAUUUAAACUCAUAUAACUUUUUUUCUACACUCCUCAGGUGUAUGAGCAGGCUGGUAUCGCCGUUCUUCUAUCUGACAUAGGGUUGAAUCCGACAUCUGCAUCUCUCUUCGUAAGUGCCAUUACAACUUUCUUAAUGGAUAUAGCUAGUAGAAGAUAAUUUCGAACACCUUCGGUUUCCUAGAACAGAUUGCUAACUUUUAAUCAAAAUUAUAACUAGGGUACACUAUCCAAAUGAUAAAAUACAGUUUAGUGUCCCUUCAGUUCUAUUUUAGACUAAAAGUUUGUAACCGGUUCUAUCUAUGCAUAUUUGCGGAAAAUAAGCUUUCCUUUUUGCCUUUCUUGGUAUGCAGGUCACUGCUGCUCUCCACAUUAUAUUGUCCCUCACUCUUCUUGUAGUUGCCAACAUUGUCAACUUGGGAACUGUUCUGAAUGCAACAAUCUCCACCGCCGUGCCUGCUGCUUCGUCAUGGCAUUUGGAGUAACCCCGAACAUUCUCUGCUCAGAGAUCAUGCCUACGAGCAUCCACGGCCUCUGCAUUGCCAUCUGUGCCCUCACAUUCUGGAUUGGAGACAUCAUCAUCACUUACGCAUUUCCUGUCAUGCUCUCCUCCGUUGGAUUUGCUGGCAUCUUCGGAAUCUAUGUUGUCGGGUGCAUCGUUCCUGGAUAUUUGUUUACUUGAAGGUGCCUGAAACUAAAGGCAUGCCUCUUGAAGGUAGCUGCUGCUGAUGCAUCUGUUGGAUUCCAAUGAUAACUGAUUUGAUUUAUUUAGAGGGUUUGAAAGUUUGGUUUGGCUUUAGACGGGAUUAUGAGGACAGGAUUUGAGUUGGAAAAAGUGUUGAUGACUGGAUUGGAUUUUUAGAAAGUGAUUUUGUAAUCAUCACUAUCUACUGAUUGCUUGUCUGACAUAUUUUUUAAAAAUUAGUGUCUGAUACUAAUUUGACUUGCCUAUUUUAACCAUUUAUUUAUAUCAUCAUUUGUAUCAUCUUUCUAAUAAAAAUGAGACUCACAUGCAUUUACAAGCCGUAAAAAAAUUAUAUACAAAUAGAUGAUAAAUAUAGCACUACUAUUUUUGUAAUAUUUUUUAAAAUUUUGUAGAACGAAAAAAAGGAAAAGAAGAGAGACUGUUUUAACUGCAGGCCUAAAAGCAGAGCCCUGUUGCCGCGUAGCACUAGGAAGUCAGUCAUCGUCUUCAGUCUUCACCAAAUUGAGUUAGAAGAAUUAGGGUUUUAGAGCUGCAAAGAUCCAAACUUUAUCAGUCUCUCCGAAAGUAAUUAGAGAAAUGGAAACCCAAUCAAGGGAUGGAGACUCUCUGGAGAAGCGGCCCGGCAUCUUCUUCCUCGGCUCCCCCGGCGUCGUCAAACGCUCUCUCAUUUCCCGUAUGCUCUCUCUCUUUCUCUCUCCUUUGGUCGAUAGAUUUCUAGGCUUACCGGGUUUGGAUUUUUGACGAUGCUUCUGAUUCUUCAUCGUCAUCUCAGCUGGUAGUUGAUGGGUAUGUAAAAUUUUGAACUUAGGGAUCAAAGAAUUCAACUCUUAUGAAUUUUGGGAACAAACAAUUCGUUUUGAAUUCUUUUGAAAUGUGUAUUUUGAUGACUUUUGUUGUAAAGAAAUAGAUGGAAUAUCUCUACAAAUUACUACACAGCUGGUGUUUCGGUAUGGUUGGUUCAUCUCCAUGACGAAUUUUUUAUAGAGUCCCUCCCAAUGUAUGAGCAGUUGGCUGCCUUGAUCUUGGUUUUCGACACAACUGAGGUUUUGGUCUCUUGCCACUCACUCUUUGUCACUUUGUUUACUUGUUUAUCAUGAUUUUCAAUGUGUCUUAUAUCAAUUUGCUCUCAUUAUGCUGCAGUUGUCGUCUCUGUCUGCGCUUCAGGAAUGGGUAUCUCAAACUGAUCUUCAAAAGUUCGAUAUACUAGUAUGCGUAGGGAAUAAGGUUGAUCGUGUUCCGGGUCACCCGGUUCGUGCCGAAUAUAGAAGACGACUGCAGAAGCUUGGAGACCCGUUUGCUGAUGCCGGUCCAGGGUUCACUGCGUAUGGAAUCUCCGAGACUGAAGGAAGCAGUUUAUUGGGGGAUGACGAGCCAUUUUGGGGGGCUAGCCACACAUGUUUGGAAUGGUGCACUGAGCAUAACAUUGAGUUCGUUGAAGCUUGCGCUUCAAAUACUGAUUUUGACAAAUGUAAGGUAGCCCUUCUUUCUGAUUUGUAGUUUAUGGCAAGUUUUAUACGAAAGUGAAAAAUAAAAAGUACCCUGCUCGAAGGUUACUUUCAUGUGUCAGCUUCAAUAUUAGAAAGAGUUGGUUAGCCUGAGAAAAUGAAUAAAAGUGAUAUCGUGAUAAAUGAGCACGUCGAUCGUACGGCACACAAAUUUCCUGCUUUGUUGGAUAUCUUUUAAGUUUAAGGUACUGUUUUACAGGUUUGUCAGUUGAUGGCGACUCGCAAGGUAUUGAAUGACUUUUUGGUGCUCUUUCCGCACAUAUGUGGCCUGAAAUGAUUCUGAAAUCAGGCGAUAAGAUUGCUGAACCGUCAUUACCUGAAAGAGGAGUAGGUUUUAUACUAUGCCGCUUAUAUUUGGUUUAUAAUAUAUAUUUUACUAUUAAGUAGGAUUCUAAAUGUCUGAAACUUGAAUCCUUUGUGCUAGACUUGUCAGAUGAAGAAUCUGAUUAUGAAUUUGAGUAUGAAGUCCUCUCUGCAGGUUCAGCUGAUCCAUUUGAUGACACGGAAGAAUGGGUUUCUGCGAAUGGUUUUGCUGGACCUUCAGAUAUGCGAGGACUGGCUGCUCAAGGUAAUCUAGUCCUAGAAUGCAAACAAGAGAAUGGAACCAGUUCUAAUAAGGAGGUUCCCCGUGCCUUGAACUCGACAGCUGCGUUGGAUGAUAGUAUUAGCAAAGGAGUAUCCAGUGCAGAAGAACCUGAACAGGACACAGAACAUGACCAAGCCCCAGAACCGGAUGAGGGUACGAAUUUUGAAUUUGAAGAUUUGGAACAGUCGAUGUCUGAGAUUGGGAACCUGCGCAACAGUUCGAGAUUGCUGCCGGAUUUUCAGAGAAGAGAUAUGGCUGAUAUGGCUGCAAUGCUGGCCAUGAAAAUGGCUACCAUGUUUGGGGUUGGCAGUGAUGGUGAAGUGGAAAGUAUCGGCGAGUAAAGGCUAUGAGUAUCUGUUGACCCUAGAAAUUACAAAGCCUACGUGGCGCGCAGGCCGAGUAUAUUCUAAGCUAACUACGUCCUUCGGUGAUUGCGGGGCGUGCCAACUCGUCGGCCGAGGUUCGGCCGAGGAAUAAAUUUGAUGAUGCUGUGUUGAGUCGCGCUACUGACUUUUGCGUCUUGCGAUUGCGGCCGAGAAAGGAACACGUCUCGGCCUCUUGGGUUCUCGAGCCUGAAGACAAGGCUGCUAUUUCUUACAAAGUUCACGAACCGAAUUCGGCUUGCAAUGUGCCGAAUAAUAACUGUGACACCUCACCUCGCCGAGAAGGCUAAUGAGAUGACCUCGACCAACAAGGAUCCGAAAACCCCUCUCGACCGAGACUUGGAUAGGUAACCGACCGUUCUCGCCGCAGUGCUGUUGAUGCCAACGGAAGAUACUGCGAGACCGACCGACUCUACGGUGACAGAGCUAUCUAUGCCGACUUAAGAUACCACCGGUUGCUUCCACAGUGCUGUUGAUGCCAACGGAAGAUGUGUCAGCGAAAAAGGAAAAGAAAAAGAUCUCAAGUUGUGAGAAUUUGCGCAGGGCAAUUUUGUAUUGAUUUUUGUGGGGGCCUCUUGAAUAAUGCACAGCCUCAUGUAUUUAUAAUACUAUUUACUGGCCAUGUUGAACUUUAUCCGUCGCGGCAUCCAAGCUAUCAAAAUAAUAUUCCUCAGAAUAUUUUCCUUCAACAACCCCACGGAUUGCUAUUCAAUUGUUAUCUUUUGCAUGCCCAAAAGAGACCAUAUCACUUGGAACUCUACUUCCCGUCAGACAGUAUCCUAAACAUCACCAACUCUUGCUUGGUCAAUCCUAAUCUUUCACCCAUCCACAUAUGCUUUAUCCACGCAUACAUGAUACUUAAAACAAAUGGUUAAUGGUUUUUGCUUUAUCUGCAAAAACUACCAUGAUCCUGUCACAUCACCUUGUUUUGGUUACUCCCCACAUCAUCUCAAUGUGCUGAUCAUCCCAUUACUUUGUGGAAUUGCUCCCCACGGUUCCGUAUACCAAAUAGAACUCCAAUGCUGCAUGGUAUUUUACAUAACCACAAUUAAUUCAAACUCUGUUGUUGUUGUUUUCAUUGGAGAUAAUGAAAAUCCCAUUUAUUCCUCCGUAUAAGAAAAGGAUAAAUAAUGAUUAUGAUAAAAAUCAUAAUAUUAUCCCUCUAUCUUCACUUUUCGAUCGACGGUGUAGAAACGUGCUUACUCAACGGCCUUGAUUACUCGGGCCGAUGGUGUAAAUUUGGGCUCAAACAUUGCCCCCCAAUUUCCUUGCACUUCGGCUCGUAAGCCGAAUGGUUAAGGAAAUUAGCGCAGUUGAAGAAAUAUAUAGUCGAAGAGAAUUGAGCAUCCACCGCCGCAUAAAAAAUCACUCGGCAGAAAGUUGUUCUAAAUACAACCUUGCCGAGGAAGAAAAGCAACCAUAUACCAGAUGAUUGGGUUCUAUGCCGAAUACCCAACAGACAGAGCAACAUGGAGAAUCAACAGCCUCGGCAUCAAUCUAUGACAGCACACAAUACACUAAAACACAUUUUCAUGCAAGCUAACUUUAUACAUACAUAUAUAUAUAUAUAUACAUAUAUAUAUAUAUAUAUAUAUACAUAUACAUAUAUAUAGUUGAGGUCAAAAGCACAUGCACGUGGUCUUAGUGUUCUUCUCAGUUGAGGCGCACAAAACCCAAAAAGAAAAACCAAAUCAACUAGGCAAUACCUUGACAAGCCGUCCUUGGCCAACUUCUUUUAUAUAUCUCGGCCAACUUUUUUUUAUUUUUUUUUUAUUCGGCUUUUAUUCGGCCUCGGUCUAGACGGUCGAAAUGCUCCUUUUUUCCAGUUUGUGCAUCAAAAAUUAUUCCUACUUUUUCUCUCUUCUGCACCGAGUAUCAAAUUUAACCGAGUAUCUGUGUAGCCCCCCUUAUUUUCUUAUGCAUCGGCUUAAUUAGCCAGAUGAUUAAGAAAAUAAUUUAUUCUCUUUUUUUUUUUUUUAAAAAAAAACAGAAGAAAACGAAAGUGGCCGAUCAAUAGUAAGGAGGAGGCCAACGAUGCUUUACUCCAAGCCGAGAUCUUUUAAUAUCAAAAUUCUCAAAUUGAUUUUGCUCUAGGCCGAAUAAAGAAUUUUCUCCAAAUAUUUUUGACUUGGUGAAAUAUUUUUCAUUCUCGGCCGCCGAAUGUGUUAAACAAUUAUUAUGCCCCCCAGGCAUAAUUUCGGCUUUUAAUUCAAACAACUUAGCCGAACAGGAUUUCUCCAUAUCGGCUUUAUUGCCAAUAAUCAUAUCAAUUGGCGUAGUUUCUUGGGCUAGGCCAAUAUCUUGGCCUUGUUCGUCAUUGGAGCAUUCCUCUGACGAAUCAUUUUCCAAGUCAAUUUUUGUAUCUAGCUCAAGAACUUGAAUUUUUUCUUCUAGGCCUACCACACUUUCAGUCUCGACCGAAAAAAUAGGUGGCUUUUGUUCUUCGGCCAAAUUAACAAUUUUCUUAGGCUGAUGUCUGAUUACGGCCGGAGCGAAAAAUUGCCCCCCGGCCUUUAGGCCUAACCAUUUUUCAAAUGGAAUAGAUUUGUAAUCAGAAACGUAAGGAAAAUUUUCUUCAUCUAGCCAGGCAUUAAAUCGAGCCCUGUCUUCAUUUAUCCAUUGCCCUUGUAGGAUAACAGGAGCUUUUAUUUUCAACAUGCAAGCGAAUGACUUUUGCAUCUCUUUAUGGCCACGAAGAACUUUUUAUGCUUCCAAAGAUUUUUUUUGUUCCUCAUUGUAUUUUUUCAAUUCCUCUAGGAGCUCGUGCAAUCGGCUAAAUGGAGCCAGAUUGACAUUUUGAUCUAUCAUGUGAACUUCGUAGUUUUAGCACUGGGUCCCACUGGGCGUGCCAAAAUGUUGACCCUAGAAAUUACAAAGCCUACGUGGCGCGCAGGCCGAGUAUAUUCUAAGCUAACUACGUCCUUCGGUGAUUGCGGGGCGUGCCAACUCGUCGGCCGAGGUUCGGCCGAGGAAUAAAUUUGAUGAUGCUGUGUUGAGUCGCGCUACUGACUUUUGCGUCUUGCGAUUGCGGCCGAGAAAGGAACACGUCUCGGCCUCUUGGGUUCUCGAGCCUGAAGACAAGGCUGCUAUUUCUUACAAAGUUCACGAACCGAAUUCGGCUUGCAAUGUGCCGAAUAAUAACUGUGACACCUCACCUCGCCGAGAAAGCUAAUGAGAUGACCUCGACCAACAAGGAUCCGAAAACCCCUCUCGACCGAGACUUGGAUAGGUAACCGACCGUUCUCGCCGCAGUGCUGUUGAUGCCAACGGAAGAUACUGCGAGACCGACCGACUCUACGGUGACAGAGCUAUCUAUGCCGACUUAAGAUACCACCGGUUGCUUCCACAGUGCUGUUGAUGCCAACGGAAGAUGUGUCAGCGAAAAAGGAAAAGAAAAAGAUCUCAAGUUGUGAGAAUUUGCGCAGGGCAAUUUUGUAUUGAUUUUUUGUGGGGCCUCUUGAAUAAUGCACAGCCUCAUGUAUUUAUAAUACUAUUUACUGGCCAUGUUGAACUUUAUCCGUCGCGGCAUCCAAGCUAUCAAAAUAAUAUUCCUCAGAAUAUUUUCCUUCAACAACCCCACGGAUUGCUAUUCAAUUGUUAUCUUUUGCAUGCCCAAAAGAGACCAUAUCACUUGGAACUCUACUUCCCGUCAGACAGUAUCCUAAACAUCACCAACUCUUGCUUGGUCAAAUCCUAAUCUUUCACCCAUCCACAUAUGCUUUAUCCACGCAUACAUGAUACUUAAAACAAAUGGUUAAUGGUUUUUGCUUUAUCUGCAAAAACCACCAUGAUCCUGUCACAUCACCUUGUUUUGGUUACUCCCCACAUCAUCUCAAUGUGCUGAUCAUCCCAUUACUUUGUGGAAUUGCUCCCCACGGUUCCGUAUACCAAAUAGAACUCCAAUGCUGCAUGGUAUUUUACAUAACCACAAUUAAUUCAAACUCUGUUGUUGUUGUUUUCAUUGGAGAUAAUGAAAAUCCCAUUUAUUCCUCCGUAUAAGAAAAGGAUAAAUAAUGAUUAUGAUAAAAAUCAUAAUAUUAUCCCUCUAUCUUCACUUUUCGAUCGACGGUGUAGAAACGUGCUUACUCAACGACCUUGAUUACUCGGGCCGAUGGUGUAAAUUUGGGCUCAAACAGUAUCUAAGAGAGAUGUGAGUGUUACACAUCCCUGAAUCCCCUUGGACUUUUUUCCACAACGUGGCAAGGAAAGGAGAAUCGGCAGUCUUCUUUUCUCUUUUACUGUAUAAGUAGGUUCAGAAUAGUCGAUACCAAUUAACCGUGCCCAAACCGAGUUUGUAAGAAACUUGUGCUUUUAAUGAAACAAUGGAAAUGUUGGGAUUGCAUUCGAAAAUCGAAGGGAUGAAUCGAUUCCUGUAUGAGCGCAAUUAGUGAUGAUGUUUCUCAACUUCGAUAUGAAAACCAACGUACAAAUUACAAAUUUCCUCCAAUGAUGGAUGCAAAUCAAUCUUAGUUGAUGAAUCGAUUUUAUACUAUAUAUUACUCCCUAUUCUUGGUAUAUUUUGGUUAUUAUUUUGGUGAGAUUUUGAUGCUUUGUUAUGUGUUUUUAAUGUAGGACAUGCGAACUUGUUAUGAGCAUAAAGUAAUCAAACAGUGGAUUUUUUGAGUGAUUCCAAUUGGAGCGGGUUUAUGAAUCUGUCAAGAAGGCUGUAUCAAAAUUUCAUAAUUUUAUCCCCAAGCAUUUGAUUGUGGCGAAUUAAUUUAUACCCAACGCGCAGUGUUGGCAUAUGGGGCUGCAGAGCUUAUUUGCGACUCCUGGGUUGGAAGAUGAUGGAUUUUGGACUUGGACUUGGACUUUUCUUGAAACUUGAAGAGGAGGUCCUUUAAUUCAAGUCGAUUUGGGCUUGUUUUGGAGCCCUAAAGGUCCAAAAACGUGGUUAUCUCUUUGCUGGGCAGAUUUCGUAGUUAGAAUAGGAAUGCAAUUCCUAGUUAUCCUUUUAUUAUUUUAUUUCCUAGUUUUUAGAAACCUUUUCUAUGAGGGUUUAAAUUGGGAGUAGUAUAAAUAAGGAUUUUUUAGCCAUUAGGGUUCUGGGGGGAGAAUGUAUGCAUUAUUUUGUAGAACUUCAAACUUUUUACCUACAAGGUGUUUUCAUUCUUUUUUCUAGUUAAUAUAUUUUAUUUAUUUUUUAUUAUGAUUGUUCGUAACUAGCUCUUUUGCUAGGGCGAAGCCACAAGCCUUAGCAUGAAUAUGUGAUUUUAUUAAUUUGCCUAUGAAUGGAUACAUGCUUGCUUUGAAUUAUUAACCACGACGAUUAAGCUAUCUAAUUGUUUUAGUGAUUCGUGAUCAUUAGGGUAUUAGACAAGCAAUUUGAUGCAAUUUCUGUUGGAACAUCACUCUGAAAUUGAGGAAGGCUUCUUGUGAUUAGUAAUUGUAAGUUCACUUAAGGUGAACAUCAUGCUCUUAGGGUUGCAUGGUUUUUUGAAGGGUUUUCACAAAGCUUAAUGAAUCUUACACGUUUAUAUUUGAUCGGGACAUCACAGACGGAUUGCAUGUUAGAUAUAUAUUUUCGCUUGAACAUCACAAGGAAAAUAUGUAUUAGGAAAACCUAACCUUCAAAGCAUGUAUGUAGAAAUUCAUAAGUAAUUGGUAAAAUUACAUAGGAUUGUUAAUGGUGACUGCAGAAUCCUAGUGUUUAAAUUGUUUUCCAAAACCUUUGUCUUUUGCUUUCUUUACUUUGUCAAGCACUUAAUUAUUUUUAUUUAAAUUCGUUUUUAUUAUUUUAAAUUCCAAAACCAACCAUUUCAAACCUUUGUUCUAAAUAAUUAGCUAAGAAUUAGUUUAAAUACAAAUUAUUCAUUCAAUCUAUGCGGCAAACAACCUUGUUUGAGCUAUUAUACUACGAUACCCUUGUACUCUUACAAAUAUUUUUAAGUGUUUUUAUUCCUACUUUUGUAGGUGAUAAAAAUCCUAUCAAGAAAUUGGUGCCGUUGCCGGGGAUCGUUUCAAAUAAUUUGUGUUUAUCAUAUUCUUAGUUAAUUAUUUUUGUAAAUAUCUUUUUACUUGUUGAUUUUAUUUUUAUUUUUAUAGGUUAUGUUUUGUUGGUUUUGAGAACAGUUAAACGAUGGGCUGGAAUCUACAACCAACAGGAGGGCUACCUUCAUGGAAUUAUAUCAAUAUGAGGAACUCUCAAAGGCCUAGGUGCGAUCCAUACUCAAAACUUUACAAUCUAAGAGCCCCUUGAACAGCCAACCGUGCCACAAAGAUCUACUCUAGAUGACAAACUUGCUGAAUUGGCAGAGUGUGUCAAGCAAUUUGUUGAUAGCAUGCCGAAUACCAAACCAUCAGCAAAGAUAAUUGAAGAGCAAGAUGGGCAGCUUUCGUAUCAAUUCAUAGAAAAUGAGAACGAUUCAUAUUCAAACUUUUACAAUCGGUGGACAGAGCAUCCUACUUCUAUGUGGGUAAGCAAUCAACAGGCUUUUCAGCAGCCCUGUGUGCCACAAAAACUUUCUUUGGAGGACCAGAUUGCUAAGUUGGAGGAGUCCACUAGGUUGUUCAUGGAGGGUACCCCUUAGUUGCAGAAAAUAAAUUCAAUCGACAAUCUGGCACAGCAAAUCGAGCAUCUCACGUAUCAAUUGGAAGAACAAGAAAACGAUUCCAAUUCAAAUUUCCCUAAUCAACCAAUCGCAAACCUACAGGGUUCAAAGGAGUGCUCUGCAGAUCAAACAUUGAGAUGGGGGGAAAACCAACGAUACUACAAUGGAAGAAUCUGAAAUUGAAGGCCCAACGGGAGAAACAGCGCCUACUGACCUUGAACCUGUUAUGACCCAAAGGCAGCAGCAGACCAUGACGGAUCAACAAAAUCAAGAUUCUAUGCGGACACAUGCAAAAGUGCACAUUAAUCUGCCGCUACAGGAUGCGACUGAAAAAUCUCCAAAGCAAUCACUAAAUUUCAAUUUAUUCGAGGCUCCAAGGCAACCCGCUAAGCAGCAGGAAUGCAUGAAUACUCAAACAGAUUUGGAUACAGGGCAGACGGGUGGUGAUGAGAAAUUUUUAAAUGCUGUACUGGAUAGUACACCAGCACAGCCGAUCAUAUUUAGAGAAAUUUGGGGAAAGUCCUACAAGCAAGCUAAGAUUUGCAUGGGAAAUAAGAAAAAGCUUAAUGGCAGCUGCAUUCUUCGUCAACAAAUUCUACUAGUGCAAAGGUUGUGGGUGUUAAAUACAAGGUUCAAGUCAUCCAAGUAUUGAACUUUGAGUGUGUGGAUUAAUCUGUUCACAUGUGUGCAAUAUGAUUUGGCCGAUGAUAAUAAGUUCACCAAGUGUUUCAAGAAAUGCCGUAGUGAAUAAACUAAAUUUUCUUUUUGAGUGGUUCCGGCUCUAUUCCUAUCUAGGAAACUUGGACCUUCUAGGACCUCCAAUGUUUAUUCUACAAAGUAUUGCUUGUGAGUGCUCUGGAUUGCAAAUUAUGAUUCCAGGCAAUAAAGUUUCAAGACGGUUUGGCUGUACCCAUAAAGAUCAAACGACAUUUGAACUUCCUCUAGAUAACGAAGGAUGAGAGAGAGGUAAAUCAUGUGUUGCUCAUUUUUUCAGCUUAGCUGACAAUUAAUUAAUUAAGUCCGUCGAAAAAAAAUACAAAACAAAGAUGUGGCCUUCGAAAGUGGGCAAAUGGGUCGGAAUUAUUAUUUCAUUCCCGGUGAAGAAAGGCCACAGUUGAUUACAAUAUCAAAAAAUAAUUGAAUACAGACAAACUAUAGUGAUCAGAUCAAAGGAAAAAGAAACUCCAUAGUGGAGAGAAAUUUACCUACAUCAUCAUCGGAGAUACUUUCCUUGGUAUGGCCACUAUUAGUAAUAUUUUUAUAUUUUUCAGUUGUCUGUGAUUAUUUUAAAAUAUUAUAACGGUGGAUUGUUACAUCAAAGGUAGUUGGUAGUAGUUUGCAACAAAACUUUAUCUCCUUUAAAUUAAAGAACCCCAAGUAACAAUUUUAUAUUUUUCAAUCGUCAAUGAAACUGCCUAGAAAAUUCAUCUCCUUCAACUUGACACCACAUUCAUAUUGAAAGGUAGUAGGUAGGAAACCGCUUGGUAGGUAGGAAGAAAAGCAUGAGGACUAAUAUAACAAGAGAGAGUCCACAUUCACAUUGAAGGUGGUAGGAAACUGCUGCUUCCUUCAAGGGAAGAAAAGCAUGCGUAAGGCCUGAUAUUAAUAUAUAUAACAAGAGAGAGUCCAAUGUCCACACUCCAUAGUCCAUACCAUACUGCAUAUUCCAAUUCUUUGAGAGGCCUCUUUUCUUUAGUUUAUUUGUCUUUAAUUCUCUUAUGGCCAUUCAACUUGCCUCUUCUUCUUCCUUGCCUCCUUCAUGGACAUAUGAUGUAUUUUUGAGUUUUAGAGGUGAGGAUACACGCUUUACUUUUACAGAUCAUUUAUACGAGGCCUUGCAUCGUAACAGAAUCGACACCUUCAUUGAUCGCCAUUUUAAAAGAGGAGAAGAAAUAUCACCGGCUUUUCUAAAGGCAAUUGAAGAGUCGAGAAUUUCAAUCAUUGUAAUCUCUGAAAAUUAUGCAUCGUCAAGAUGGUGCUUGGAUGAGCUCGUACAUAUCCUUGAAUGUAGAAGGUCAAGGCAGCAAAUAGUUUGGCCAGUUUUCUACAAGGUGGAUCCGUCCCAUGUACGAAAUCAAACGAGUAGGUUCGGUGACGCAUUUACAGGACUAGAGUGCAAAUACAAGGACGAGGAGAAGAUCCUCUUAUGGAGGAGUGCUCUUAAAGAAGUAGCAAAUUUGUCAGGACAUACUGUCAAAGAGGAAGAGUACGUACAUUUCUUCACUCCUUUUAGUUUGUUUAAUUAUAUGAUUCUGUAUUUCAGGUUUUAGUUUCUACUAAAAUAAUACCUAUUUAGUUGCUAGUUUUUAAAUCCCUAGCACUUAAAAACUGCAGCAAUUCCAUAAUUUUCCAGCUUUGUUGAAUGGCAAGUCUAUAAUUUACAUAUGAAGAAGAUAACUCUUAUCAAUGCUACUAUAUAAAGUUGGAAGCCCAUUUGCGGUCACGGGUUUCACCAUAAAUGAUGGGAUAAAAAUGCUCCUCAAAUAAAAAAGUUCAAAAAAGUCUAAAAUAAUACAUGAAAUAAUGUAGGAAUAUUUUGGUAAUAUAAACAGCAUUUUUUUUAUAAUUAAUUUUUUUGUACAGUUUUAUUUUAUAUUAUUUUUAUAAUUAAUACCAUAAUGUGUUAGUAAUAAUGUGAUUUAAUCAGUUGUUAAUUAAAUAUUAUUUUCUCUAUUUUUAAACAUGUUCAAAACAUCUUAAAAGAUAUGUAAUGCCGGUUAUAAAAAUGAUAUUUCUUGCGUGUAUUAUCUACAUUAAUGAAAAGGGGAUAGAUUUACUCCACACGCGCUACGCGCAUGAAGGCCAGUUUAUGUUAAACCUACAUGACCAUCUUCUUCAUAUAUAAUUAUCGACUUGUCAUUCACCAAAGCUAGCGAAUCAGGGAGUGACUCCUGUUGUUGCGGGCACUCCUCUUUCGUGUAAUACUCUGUCAUUGUUUUUGGGAACUGAUAAACUCACCCCGUUACUCUUAUCUUCCCACACAUUAUUAUUCCAUCCGCCAUACAAAAUUAAAAAAAAUUAAAAAAAAUUAACAUCUUAUUUUCCAACCCCUAUAAUCUACAUAGUCAUUGGUUUUGUUGGAGAGUUGUAGAGAGCAAGAGAUCUGCUUCAUCAAUUCAACUAAUUUAGUUCGAAGCAAAAGAAUUAAAUCGAAAAAGUGGAAGUAAGAAUAUCAGAAACAGUUAAAAAAAAAAUUCGAAUCUGCAAGUAAAGGGGAAGCAGUUUAAGAGGGAGAGCGUACCGGCGAGCUUCUCAGCAUCGAACCAAGAUUCUGAUUCCCCUGUCCUCUCUCUCUCUCUCUCUCUCUCUCUCUCUCUCUUAAAUUGCUCUCCUAAAGCCGAGAUUUGAUUCAAAUGACCUGGAAGCUAUCAAAUUAAAGAUGCAAAAUUGCAACAAAACGUCCAAAAUUUUAAAAUUUGUUGGAAAAAUCCACAAACUGAUGAACAUAUUUGGAAUUGGAGCCCUAGAAAUCACAGAAACGAACCAUGAGAAAUGCUAUCUGUCGGUGGAUUCUUGAACUUCUUCCGCCACCGGAAUAAUGGAUCUUUCUCCCACCGAUCAAAACUUGACUCCAUUAAUUAAUCUGCCCAAAUAAUGUACCUAUGGUGUUGUUUUAUAAUUUACCGAUUACUAAUGAUGUUAGGUAAAUUAGUACUUUUAGGAAAUAAAUGAUACAUAUCCAUACAAAACAUCUGCUUUCAUCGGAGAAAUUUUAUUUAAACUCAUAUAAUCUUUUUUUACAUCAAAUUUACUCUCUUCAUUCAUAUUGUUUUUUUAUUAAAAAAUUAAUCUCUCUUUAAACCCAAAUUUAUUACCUAAACUAUCCACUCAAACCCAAUUCAAAAUAUUAAAUUAUCUUUACACGUAUUUCCUUUAUAAAAUAACAUCUGUAAUUAAUUUUUUUUUAAGAAACGUCUUUGCCCCACCCCCCUCUCCUAGUAGCAUUUUCAUGGCUACUUUUUUUCUUUCUGCUACCAAAUCUAGACAUUUACCUUUUUUUCUUUAUACUGAUGUGCAUAAGCAACAAAUCAAACCAUUCAUCCUCUUAUAUUAUCAACAAGCAAUGAAGUUUAUAAUCUAAGAACAUUGGUAAGAAGUUUUUCCUUAUAAUUUUUCAAUUGCAGAAAGCUUAACAAACCAUUCGGAAUUGAUGAAAAAAAUUUAAAUCAAAUGAACAAAAUAUUCAUAAAUUAAGUCAUACCUUAGUUGGAGGAUUCAAAACUUCAAAAUCACCAUCCAUCAAUAAAAAAACUCGUUUUUCUCUAGAAGACCUAUUAGGGUUUUAGCCAGAAUGAAGGAUAAACAAGAAGUGAUGGUAGAGUUUAAUGGGUUUAUUGAUAAAUUUGAGUUUUAUUAUUAAUUUCAUUUUGUACUUAAUAGUAAUUAUGCAAUAUGUUAAAAUAGACAACAACAUAACAUUUAAAUGAAAAAAAAAGUCUAUGUCUUAUUGUUAUUUUUUUUAAACAAAAGGGAAAAAAAAAAGGAAAAAGUCAAUGUCUUAAGUAUGGAUAUGGAAAGAUGUUAGGAUUUUACACAGUAAUAAACAGUGUGAAAUUGUGAAUAAUGGCAUAGGGGUAAAUAAUUUUUAUUAAUGUGUCAAUUAUUAUCUUACAUGAUUCUGUGUUUAGCUGCAAGCGGCACAUACUUGACUGCAGCAGUGAUUAUCCAUUCCUCUGUUUUUUGGACCUGGAUUGUCUGCCCUCAUCAUUCCAUGCCUUCCUAUUUAUGUGGUCACGGUUAAGCCACGUCAACAUUUUAUAUUGAUUUUGCUUUUUGUCUUAUUAUUUUUAUAAAAAAAAUUAAUAUAAAAUGUUAACGUGGCUUAACCGUGACCACAUAACAUAAGAGGGCAUGGGGAGGGCAUGGAAUGGGAAGGGCAGACAAUCCAAGUCCCUGUUUUUUUCAAUCUUUUUUUUCUUUUCAUUCUCUUCUUCUUUUUACAUUUUUUUUUCCUUUUUUAAAGAAAUAUAGCAGAAAAAGUUGAUUGGCUAAAUGUGUCAAUUUUUUAUAUAAACUGGUAGGUAUGAAGCUACAUUUAUCAGUAAGAUCGUAAAGGAGAUCUUGGUCCGCAUGCAACAACGCAUGCAUUUGAACGUAGCCAAAUACCCAGUUGGAAUUAAGUCCUGUGUAGAAAAGGUGAAAGAGCUUUUAGGUCUCGGUGGAAAUGAUCCGUGUGUGGUUGGGAUUUGGGGGGCAUCUGGAAUCGGCAAGACAACAGUUGCAAAAGCUGUUUAUAAUGCAAUUGCUUAUAAGUUUGAAGGUAGUUGUUUCCUGGCAGAUGUUCGAGAAACGUCAAUGCAAUACGGAGGCCUAUUCCAACUACAAAACACUCUUCUAUGGGAGAUUGGUGGUUCAGAGUGGAAAGUUGUCAAUCCUCAUAGAGGAAACAUCCUUAUAGAGAAACUGUUGAGGCGAAAGAAAUCUCUCUUAAUUCUUGAUGAUGUGGAUGAUUUGGAGCAGUUAAGCAACUUGGUUCAAGUUAAAUGGCUCGGUGAGGGUAGCAGAGUGAUCAUAACCACAAAAAAUAAAGGAUUGCUGGAAUCUUGUAAAGUUGAGCUGAUAUACAAGGUCCAAAAGUUAGAAGACAACAAAGCUCUUGAGCUUUUUAGUUGGAAUGCCUUCGGAAAAGAAAAACCUCCAGAUGAUUAUUUGGGACUCGCACGGCGUGCAAUAGGCUAUGCUCAAGGCCUCCCGUUAGCUCUUAAUCUUAUAGGUUCUCAUCUGCGUGGUAAAAAUAUAGAUCGUUGGCAAGAUAUUUUAGAUAGUUACGAUGAAGAACCUUAUAGAGGGAUUCAAAGAGUACUUCGGAAAAGUUAUGAUACCUUGGAUUAUGUCCCGCAACAAGUUUUCCUAGACAUUGCAUGCUUCUUCAAGGGUGAAGAUAAAGACAAAGUUUUACAGAUAUUAAAAGGAUCAAACCUCAAAGUACGUCAACAUUGUAUUGAUGUUCUCGUUGAGAAUGCCAUUAUUACUAUUGAAUAUAAUAGGAUUUUGAUGCAUGACUUGCUAGAAAAAAUGGGUAAGCAUAUAGUUUGGGAAGAAUCGCCCACUGAACCAGGCGAGCGGAGCAGAUUAUGGCAUCAUGAAGAUGUGUACCAUGUUCUAACUAAAAAUAGAGUAAGUAGAAUAUAUGUUCUUGCAUUUGAUUUAAUUGGCAUGAUUUUGGAAAGAAAAAAAAAUUAAAUCCUUUUGAUUUCUUUGUUAUACAAUUUGUUUGUUAACGCUAUUUAUUUUUCCAUCUUAGGGAACAAAGAAAAUUAAGGGCAUUGUGGUGAAGUUGCCCAAGCUAGAUGUGAUACCCUUGAAUGCAAAAAGCUUUUUCAAGAUGGUAAAUCUUGAAAUUUUUAUAAUCCAUAAUGCAUAUUUUUCUGGAUGCGUUGAGUAUCUACCCGAAAAUUUGAGGUGGAUUAAAUUCGGUGAAGAUGGGCUUCAAGACUGGGGAUCCAAACUUAAAUUCAAUUUGCAAUCCAAUUGUCAUCUAAGGCAUCUUGUCACGUUUAUUAUGCCAAACAGUGACAUCAGACAAUUGAAGGUAUUUCAGGUAUGUAUACGUAUUAUAAAUUAAUUUGGACAAUUACUAAUUUAAUUGUAUACUUUAUUUUUGGAAAAAGAAAUUUGCCAAAGCUUUUCAUCAUUAAUUAUUUUAUUUAAAGUUUGUGAUUUUUUUUUUAUUUUGAUUUCUCAGAAUUUGGCAAAGCUUACAUCUUUGAAUUUAAGUGGUUCCGAAUUCUUAGAAAAAAUUCCCAACUUAUCCGGAAGUCCAAACCUAAGGGAGUUGAUACUAAAUAAGUGUAAACGUUUAGUUGAAGUUGAUGAUUCUGUUGGAUUCCUUGAUAAACUUGUUACAUUACGUCUUGUUGGGUGCUCUAGGCUUAAGAGAUUUGUGACGAGACUUAGAUUGAGAUCCCUUCAAAGGCUUAAUCUUGGUGGUUGCACAAGGCUCAAGAGUUUCCCAGAAAUAGAGGUCAAGAUGGAAUCUCUAGAGUAUUUGGCUAUAGAAGAAAGUGGCAUAAGAGAAUUGCCUUCAUCAAUUGCAUAUCUUACUGGGCUUCAAAGAUUGCAUGCAAAUUAUUGUGAGAACCUUACAGGUACAUCAUUACAUCACAUUUAUGGGUUGCAACAUCUUUACUAUAUUGAAAUGAAUGGAUGCCCAAAACUGGUGACAUUUGGGAAGUUUUCAACUCGCUUAGAUACUUCACAUUACAACGGUAUGCCAUUAGCCAUUUUCAACGUAAGCCGGCUUUAUCUUAUUGGAUGCAAUUUAUCAGAAAGUGAUUUCCUUGUGCCUCUUCAAUAUGAACCAUCCAAUCUUCAUUGCUGGUCCACAUUAGAAGAUCUUGAUCUGUCGGCAAACAAUUUUGUUAGUCUUCCGGAUUGCAUUAGCAAAUUUGUCAACUUGAAUGAGCUUAGAUUGCAAGGUUGCAAGAGGCUUCGGGAAAUUCCACAUGCCCUUCCACCAAAUCUAAGUGAUUUAUAUCUGGAUGAUUGCACAUCAUUGGAAAAAAUUCCAAAGUUGCCCUUGGGGCUUAGGCGUCUGCAGUUGACUAAUUGCUUUGGACUAAGUGGCGAUGAGGUGGCAAAGUUGGAAAAUAAUUUGUUGAACUUGAAUCAGGUUCGUCUCUCCUCUUUUAAUUUCUCUUGAAAUUAAAAUAUAUAAUUUGUCGAUACUUGGGAGGGAGAACAGAUGACGAUUGUUUGUAAUUAGUUAUUUACAUAUUAUUCACUAUUGCAGGAAUCUCUUCUGUACUCUCAAUUGCAAGUUAUGUAUCCAGGCAAUGAAAUUCCAAAGCGGUUCAGCUAUGCGUCUAAAUAUCUAACAGCCACUAGGAUUGAAAGUAUACGAAAUGAAGAUGAAGAAGAUGAUGAAGAAGAUGAUGAUGAAGAUGAAGAAGAAGAUGAUGAUGAAGAUGAUGAAGAAGAUGAUGAAUAUGUUGGAGGUAGUGAAUUUAGUAUUGAAAUUCGUCUAAAUUUACAGGAGAGGGAGACGUUAUUAGGAUUGGCUCUAUCUUGUGUUUUUCCACCACGGGUAUCAGAAUUUGGAUGUUUUUACCAUUUUCGUAUUUACAUCAACGAAGCAAGUGAUUUUGAAUUAUUUCAUUGGAUGGGGAAGAGCAUGGAGACAGCUCAUAUGGGGCUCAUGUUAGUGGAUUUAGAGAAGCAGGGAGAUAUUUGUAAAGUUAAACUUCAAUUCCCCGUAUGGGCACGCAUUAAAAUGUGCGGGGUGCACCCCUUAUUCCGCAAAGAAGAUGAUCGGCAACAACAAUGGCCUUCCUUAUCGUCGAACCCAGCGAUGAUCAACCGAAACGCACGCAGAUUGAUCACAAUGUUCCUUCUGAUAUUAAGGUACGGAAAAGCCCUUGAGCUUUUCAGUUUUAGCAAUUUUUUUAUUGUUCUUUAUUGUGAUAUCAUUUUUUAAAUUAAUAUAAUAGAAAUUAAUUAAUUUAAAUUAAAUAAAGGAAAAAAUUUGAACAGUUUUCAAUCUGCAUAAUCAAAGAUUUCAUAUCUGUAGGUGGUUAGUUAUUAGAAAAACAGAAACCACAUUUGUAUCUUGAAGUACAUUUCACUAAUCAAAUCAAAUUCUAAUUAAUCAAAACAAACAAUUAUGGAAGGGAAACAUACAAGGAGAAAUGAGAUUAUAAGUACAAAAUUCAAGAUUAAUUACCUAAAAACUUGGUUUUGUUCAUAUAAGUACAAAAUUUCUACACGAAGAUCAAAGAACUACAUCGUAUGUAAACCACAUGCUUCUCUUUGUUAAUCAAGUUUACACGCAGAGAUGAAAGACUUGUAGGACUACUGUUUAAUCAAGAAUCGGGGUUUGCAACUAUUUUUUUAUUAGCAUUUACUUCUGCUUUUUCAAUUAAUGGAUACGUGGAAAAUUUGAUUUGGUGUGGAUUUAGAAAAGAAGCAGGGAGAUAUUUGUAAUGUUGAAUUUCUUUUCCUCAAGGGCGCAUGCAUUAAAAGUUGCGGGGUGCACCCACUAUUGCGCAAAGAAGACGAAUGGCUUCCCUUGUCUUUGGGACCAACAAGUAGUCUUGGAAAGACGCCUCGUCCACUUGGAUCCUCAGAUACCGUCCACGAGGAAUAUGAUCGGCAACGACAAUGGCUUUCCUUAUCUUCGAACCCGGCGGAUGAUCAUCCGAAACGCAGGCAGAUUGAUCUUAAUGGUCCUUUUGAUAUUGAGGAGGAGGAGCAAGAGCAACCAUCCACUUCAGAUGAUUCACAAUUUUUUCUUCAUUAGGAGUUUGGGUACGUACAUUUCAGUUUUAGUAUAACUAAAUAAUUUUUUUAAUUUUUUUUUGUAUUGUGAAUUUGUGAUACCUUUAUAGAUUAAUAUAAUAAAAUUAAUUAAUUUAAAUUAAAUACAUAAAAAAAAGAAAAUUACAUUUUACCUCCUCAACUUUGGGUCACAUAACAAUCUCAUAUUUUAUCUUUUAAAUAUUGCUAUAUUAUACAUCAAUUUACAAAUUUGCUGCAAUAUCAUGCCUCCAUCAACUUUUCUGUUAAUUUUUAUGUUAAAUGCUGAUGUGGUAGACACGGAUCCGCUCACUUACUUAACUAGGUUAUAAAAUUAAUUUAAUAUUAAAAAUUAAAGAAUUUUUAGUUCUAAAUUAAAUUAAAAUUAACAAAUAAAUUGAUGGAUAUUUUAACGGAGGUUUAAGAUUGCAACAAAUUCGUAAGUUAACUAAGACAUUGUAAUGUUUAAAAGAUGAGGUAUAACUUUGUUAUAAGACCCAAAGUUAAGGUGGCCCAUGUAAUUUACCCAAGAAUUUAAACAAUUUUCAAUUUGCAAAAACAAAGAUUCCAUAUCUGUAGGUGGCUACUGGCUAAUUCUUAGAAAAACAGAAACCACAUUUGUAUCCUAAAGUACUUUUGACUGUGAGUGAGUAAGCCACACUUCAAUAAUAAAACCAAAUUCUAAUUAAUCAAAACAAACAACAAUGGAAGGAAAACAUACAAGGAGAAAUGAGAUUAUGAGUACAAAUUUCAAGAUUAAUUAUCUUAAAACUUGGUUUUGUUCAGAUAUAUAAACCUACAAAGAGAAAUGGAGAUUAUAAGUAUAAAAUUUCUGCAGGAAGAUCAAAGAACUACACCGUUUGGAUGAACAUGUAGAGCACGUACUCCUCCCUCUGUUAAUCAAGUUUACACGCAGAGAUGGAAAACUUGUUGGAGUACUGUUUAUAUAAGAGUACUUUUUAUGAGCAUUUCCAAUUAACGAAUAGGUGAAAUUUUUUGAUUUGGUGUUGAUUAAUAAGAUUUAGUAUGAUUUUAAUAUCAAGAUGAGACAACAAUAUGUAGAAAACAUGGCCAUAAUUUCACAGGUCUCUGUCCCUAUAUAUUGAUUCCUUGCAGAUUCUGGGAUGGAGUUUGGGUCAAAAUUGCAGCCAACUGUGUCUUGACACAUUUUUGGUUUUGGACAAAUACUCUGUCUCCUGCCUUUUGCCAUUUAUGGCUCCUUUGUUUUCUCUGUUGCUGCUGGGACAGAGUCCAUUAGAUUUGCCCGUUUAUUUUCUUUGCUCCCACAAACGGGGUGCAGGAGGCUAAAAAAUGAGCUUUGAAAUUUAUAGGGCCCGUUUAUUUCAUUCCAUUGACAUUUUCAAGCUAACUUUUUGGCUUCUAUGAUCCACAGGUGAGUUGGCUUCGCACAGGCAAGGAAACAUCAUUGGAAGAGUUCAUCCUUAGUCCCCCCAAUGUGCUUACUGAAAAUCAGGGAAAUCAAAUACGGCUAUAUGGUCCCGAAAAGGGCUUAUCAUACAUCGCCAAACCUGCAACUGGACAGAGUUUUAUAUCUCACCACGGGAGCACGUUGAACCUAAGCAUGCCUCUCGUGGAUCCUCUGGUCACUCUCUUUGGCAGUGUCCACGAGAAGAUGUCCGAAAGGGGAAGCAAAGGCAGCAUGCUUUAUCCAAAUCUUGGAAGCAUUUUGAAUGCAGGGGAGUAUCAUAAUAAAAACGCACAUUGGGACAUAGAGAGCCAGACAGAUGGUGAGGAUCACGAAUCUGAAGCAUCCGGGGCUUAUUGUGAUGAAAGCUUGAGAAGUCCACUAAUCUCGUGCCAAACAACAGGCAUGGGAACGCCUAGGUCUUGCGGCAGUGCUUUAGGUGUGAGAUGCAAUACAAUCUUGAUGAAAGGAAAUGUACAAGCUAGCGAGGCUAUCAGUAGUAGUAUGGACACUGGUGGAGGUUGGCAGCUGGCUUAUAUAUAAGUAUUCUGACCGAGUAGGCGAAGACGGGAAGAAGGAAGGAGGAGUUCAAAAAGUGUAUUUGCAUCAGGAUAGUGCACUUUGGUGUCGGCCUGCGUCGGUUGUUUCAAUUUCUGGUGCAUUCAUGGUGGUCUGGUUAGUCAGCCUGAUGUUUCAGAAACUUUCUUGUUUGUCAACCUUCUAUGUUGUCGGGUGCAUCGAUUCUUGGAUAUUUGUUUACUUGAAGGUGCCUGAAACUAAGGGCAUGCCUCUUGAAGUCAUCUCUGAGUUCUUUGCUGCAGGUGUAAACCCAGCUGCUGCUGAUGCAUCUGCGGAUUCCAAUGAAAAGUGAUUUGAUUGUUUAGAGGGUUUGAAAUUUGGUUUGAUUUUAGACUGGGAUUGUGAGGAUAGGGCUUGAAUUGGAGAAGUGCUUAUGACUAGAUUGCUUUUUUUUAAAGUGAUUUUCUAAUCAUCAAUGUCCCUUCCUUAAUGCUGCAGAAGUAUAUUUGAUAUGGAAAACUAAUGAAAAUGGCUUGAAAACCCUAUUUGAUACCAUGUUUUCUAAUCAUAGAUUCUUAAUCUAAUCCUAAAUAUUGAUUGAAGUUUAAAACAGUCUAAUUAACCACCCUUGUAGUUCCAAAUUGAAGUUUAAAACAGUCUGCACUUAUAUUUUCCUAUCUAUUUAAUUUUAGGCAGACAUAUAUUGUUGUAGACACUCUUUCUUAUUAUUGUGAUCAUAUACCAAAUAACUCAAUAUAGAUCACAAUAAUUCUUACUGAAGUAUGGUUUAAAUUUUUGUUAGAUAUGAAACUGAUCAAAAUCAAAUUGCUCAUGCGUUACAUUGUAUUUAAAAAAAACGUGUGUCUAACACUAAUUUGAUUUGCAUACUGUCUUAUAAGAUCUUAUUUAACUCGUGACAAAUAAUAGUAUAUGACUUGCUAAUUUAUUUACAAAGGAGAAAUUCACUAACUUUACGUAUCCUAAACGGCCAAUAUAUGCACCUGAGUUUGAAUUUUCAUUCCCAUAAUAUAGAUUUUUUUUUUAAGUUUGUAUGAAAAGAAUUUUACAAUGUCUUGAAAAAAUAUGAAGGAAGAAAAAAAGAAACUGUUUUUAACUGCUGCCUAAGCUGAGCCCAGUUGCCGUGUAGCACUAGCAAGUAGCAACAGGAAAGUCUGCUGAGAAAAGUCAGUCAUCGUCUUCACUAAAUUGAGUUAGAAGAAUUAGGGGUUUAGAUUUGCAAAGAUCCAAAUUUUAUCAGUCUCUCCGAAAGUAAUCAGAGAAAUGGAAAGUCAACCAAAGAACGGAGACUCGCUGGAGAAGCGGCCCGGCAUCUUCUUCCUCGGCUCCCCCGGCGUCGGCAAACGCUCUCUCAUUACGCGUAAGCUCUCUCUCCUUUGACCGAUACUAAGCAUGAUCUGUUGAUUUGUUGGAUUACUGGGUUUGGAUUUAUACAAUGCUUCUGAUUCUUCAUCGUCAUCUCAACUGGUAGUCAAUGGGUAUGUAAAUUUUUAAUUUUGGGAUCAAAGAAUUCAAUUUUAGGAAUUUUGGGUACAAAGAAUACAACUUUUAGGAAUUUUGGCAACAAAGAAUUCGUUUUUAAUUCUUUUGAAAUGUGAAUUUUGAUGAUUUUUUUUGUGUUAAAAAAAUAGAUGGAAUAUCUCUACAAAGUACUACACAGCUGACGUUUCGGUAUGGAUGGCUCGUCUCCAUGACGAAUUUUCGAUUGAGUCCCUCCCAAUGUUUGACCAGUUGGCUGCCUUGAUCUGGUUUUCGACACAACUGAGGUUUCCGUCUCUUGCCACUCACUCUUUGUCAUUUUGUUUACUUAUUUAGCAUGAUUUUCGAUGUGUCUUGUAUCAAUUUGUUCGCGUUAUGCUGCAGUUGUCGUCUCUGUCUGCGCUUCAGAAAUAGGUAUCUUGAACUGAUCUUCAAAAGUUCGAUAUACUAGUGUGCAUAGGGAAUAAGGUUGAUCUUGUUCCAGGUCACCCGGUUCAUACCGAAUAUAGAAGACGACUGCAGAAGUUUGGAGACCAGUUUGAUGAUGACGACGAUCUAGGGUUCACUGUGUAUGGAAUCACCGAGACUGAAGGAAGCAGUUUAUUGGGGGAUGACGAGUCAUAGGCCAGAGACACAUGUUUGGAAUGGUGCACUGAGCAUAACUUUGAGUUCGUCGAAGCUUAUGCUGAUUUUAACAAAUGUAAGGCAGCACUUCUUUCUGACUCGUAUUUUAUGGCAAGUUUUAUACGAAAGUGAAAGUUUGAAGCCGGAUGAGAUGUCAAAUUGUUACUAGGCAGCAGUUUAGGUGUGGUUACAUAAAAACACAUGGUGUACCAUACAACUAAAAAUUUCUCCCACAUAAGCAGCACACAGGAUAAACUCAAUUGAACAAGUUGUUGCUCAGGCUCUUUUGUUCAUGAAGAAAUUUUUCAUUAUUGUGCCUAGAAUCAAGUUUUUAAUUUUUUUUUCACACAAAUAUCUCAUCACUUGUUUAGUGACACAUGAUGUAUCACCAUGUGUUAUGGGUAUACUGAAAAAUCUCUCGGCUCUAUCUCUGUCAUCUUAUAAUUUAAUUUCGAUUUUCGUGCCAACAUUACAAAACAUUAUUUCAAAAGUAUGAAGUGAAAGAUAUUCUAUGGAGACUAGGAAUAUAAGUUGCUUAUUAAGGUUUUUAUUUGACCAAUGUGAUAUUUUGGUUAGGUAAGUAAUUGAAGGUGAACGUUCUUAGUUAUCUGAAAACAUUUUUCUGAUGGUUUUAGAAGCAGCCCAAGUGACCGGUUCGAUAUUUAGGUAAGGAGGUAAAUGAUUAUGUACAAGCGUCGAUAACAUAUUCAAAAUCUAAAGCACUUAUAAACUAUCAUGAAGUAAACGUUCUUGAUUAUCUAAAGCACUUGCAAAAUUAUUAAGAAAAGGAUAUUCUUAGUUAUCUGAAAACACUUUUUUCUCAAUAAUUUUUAGAGGCAAUUUCGCAGUGUUGAGAUGUUAGCUUCGAAGGCACUCCAACUUGCAAAGAGUGCUCCACAAAGUUCAACAAAAGUAGAAACAAAAUCAAUUAAAAAUCCCAACUCACAAGUGAGAGCAAUGGUUAUGCUUCAAGGUCCAACCAUCUGACCUCUCUAAGUUAGGCUUCAAUUUUACUUCAUUUCCCACUCCAAAUUUCCAAGCAUCUGUACCCCAUUGACCCUUUGCCCGCUUUAAGCAAUCUAGAAAAAUCAUUUACAUAAGAGAAAUACUAAGUGAAUUCUUUCAAAACGAACUUUUCAUAACUCUUCGUCACAAAAAAUAAUUCAAUUUUAUUGUCUCCUUUGCAUGCAAGAAUUCAAUUUAUACCUAGCUGAUGUACAUCAUUGUAUAAAAUUCCAAAACUACCAGUGCUUUGGAUUCUGGACCUGACUAAUCACUGUAGACUAAGUAGUGAUGAGAUGGCAAAGUUGGAAAUAACUCGUUGAAUUAGGUUCAUCUCUUCUUCUUAAUUUCUGAUGAAAUGAAAAUUAAUCUUGUUGAUAACUGUAAUUAUUUAACUAUAUAUAUACAUUACUGCAAGAACUUCUUCUGCGUUCUGAAUUGAAAAUUGUUCUUCGAAGCAAUGAAAUUUCGAAGUGGUUCAGAUAUACAUAAAAAAAUUAAAUUUUUUUUCAUUGUGACGGGAAUACAGGUUACCACCACGGAUGUUUAUGUAAAUGGUGGGAAAUUUUAUUUUUUAAGUUAUUAACCUUUUAACAUACAUAUCCCAACAUUUGUAUAAUGACAUAUGGUAUACUAUUUCGUGUGCCGGUCACAUUAAAAAAUCACUCUGGUUAAGAAAAAAAUGCAUUAUUAGUCUAAAAGACCACCGAAUGUCGGUGGGACCAAGUUUGAUUGCACUGCUCCCUCUUUUUUAUUCUUGAAUUAAAAAAAAUCAAAAAGGAGAAUUAAUAGGUAAAAGUAAAAAAAUAAAAAAAGUACAAAAGAAGGAAUCGGGUGUGAAGAAAAUCACUCUACAAUACGUAAUACUUUUGUUACAUUUUUGAAAGUCAAUUGCAUGUUGAUGUGCUUUUAACUUUUGAGUACAGAAUACUUAAUAUUUGUCAAUCAAUCAUCGGUAUAUAUCAUGUUGGAAGAGGAUUCCCAUUGGAUUCUUUUUGUGGAGAUUUAGGUGAUUUUCUAAUUCUGCGUAUUUAUCGUUAUUGUGUAGUAAAAAAUCAUAUUAAAUAUUUAUAUUUAAAAUUAAAAUUAAAUAUUAUUUGACGAAAAUUGAUCGAACGAUGAACAAUAAACGCACCAAAUUAAAGGAUCUCCCUAAAUUCCCAAAAAAAAAAAUCUGAAGAUGAUCCUCUUCCUAUCAUGUUGAUAUCGUGGAGCACAAGGUAAUAGUUAGCAAACGAAAUUGAUAGGAUAGGGGUAAUGUGAUUAAUACAAGUGCAAAGACGACAACGAGGGAUAAAGUGAUACUUUCGUGCUAGUUCCGAGGACAUUUUGGUAAUUAAGCCUUUAUAUUUACUAAUCUUGAUUUGAUUUAUAAUUAGUACUCAUUUUUGGCGUCGUAUCAUUCUGACAUGGAUUCCUUCCGGAUCCAUUAUGUGGGGAACUAGGGAUAUUUACAUCUCAGUCGUUUAUUGUGUAUCGCAUGAUCAUAAAUCAGUUGAUUUUUAUUUAUUUAAAAUUAAACACAAAUUGUACAUGAUGAAAACUGAUCGCAUAAUAUACGAUGAACGCUGAGAUGUGUUGAAUCUUUAUCGAUCCCUUUUUUUUUAACGUUUAACAAUUGAACUCAUUAAUAUUAAAAUAGAUAAAAAUAGAGUACGAACAAAAAAAAAUCUUAAAUGCUUUUGUUGCAGUCUUUCAAGUUAAUUGCGUAUUUUCAUGCAUUUUAACCUUUGUAUGUACAUAAUUGAUUUGUCAUACGGUCAUAGUAGCUUCAUAUGACAUCGUUUAUGUGUCAUGCGGGUGAAAAGAACGUGUGCUUCAAUAACAAACGAAAAUAAUAAAUAAAUAAUAAAACUAAUGAAAAUGGUUUGAAAAUUUGAGUUUUAAUGAUAAAGACAAAACAAAGGAUAAAGUAAAUAGUAUCAGGAUUGACUUUUUAGUAUAAAAAUAUGGUUUUUCGUUAAAGUGAACAGUACCGAAAAGUUUUUUUGUUAAAAUUCCCUAAAAAAAAAAAUCAAUCUUUAUGAAUAGAAGUUGCAACCAAAGCUCCUCUCCAUCAAUUCUGGAAGGUAGCACGUAGGAAACUGCUUUGUGGCUGUGGGUAGGCAGAAAAGCAUGAGGCUUGACAAGAGAAAGUCCCCAAGUUUAUUUGGCUUUUAGUAUAAAUUAUUUUCUCAUUUGUCGAAGAAAAAAUCACCUUAAAUGACUCACCUUUCUUCAGGUAUGCGACAUUAUUUAUAUGGUUCAAAAUGACACAAACCGGAUAUAAAUAAUGUGGGGGUGUGGUUAAGGAAAAAAUGCAUUAUUACUUUGGUAACUCAAAAACCAUCUAUUGUUGGUGAAACCAGAAUUUUCCUAACAUUUGCUCACUGACGUUAUCGUUUUGUUGAAAAAUAUAAAUAAAUUCUGCACCUGCAUCCUGUUUUCAAUGCACUGCAUAUUCCUCUGCUUCUCUUGUUUUUUUUUUUUUUUUUUUUUUUUUUUGUUGUUCUCGUUACGAAAAUGAAAAUUAUCCAAAAUGAAUGGUAUUAGCUAUUCCCAUCCUAAAUGGAAGCGUGAAGGGAUUGUAAGAACUUUAACACAGAUCGAUGAUAUGCCAAUUGAAUUACCAAUGUUCUGAAACAAGUCAAGUGACAAAACUUAUGAACAAGAACAAGGAUUGCCGAGAACAUACCUGCAGAAUUUGAACUUGAAGAAACCAUAACAGCCUCUGUGUUCAAAACCUUCUCCUCUUUUACGAUCACAAUAGCUUUUCUAAUCAAUAGGACUUAGAACAACAUAAGCUAAUAUCGCAAGAGCAGUGGUUUGAACCAUAAAUAUAUAGUGCUCCUUCGUCCAUUCCCUAUCAGAAUUGGACUAGGAUUCAAAGACAUACAAACCAUAAAGAUUCAUGAGACUUUAUAAAGUUCCAACACAAAGUUCUUUUCCAAAACCAAUUGGAACUUCUCUCAAGACUGCAUUCCUUAUCAGAUUUAGACUUCUUUAUAAUAUCAAUUAUCCCAAGACUUAUAAGAAUCAUACUCAUACUCUUACAUUCUCCCACUUGAGUAUGAUUCAUCACAACAGAUAAUCAUCUCAAAUUAUAAAGGUGAUCAGAUAAGUCAUUCACCAUCACACUAGUACAUAGACACAACCUGCUUACAUAAACCAAAACAAUGAAUUUAUAAUUGCCUAUGCAACACAAAAUACAGAUUUAACUUACAAAUCACAAUGUCCAGUUUAUGUUCAUAGCAAUGUAUCUAAGCUCAAAUUUAUAUAAAAAUUACCAAAUGUUUUGGAUAAAAGCUUAUCCUCACAUACAACUUACCUAUGCAUUUUACCAAACCAAUUUGCUCCCACUUAUCUAGGCCAUACUUAACACAAACAAGUUAAGUAUAAGUUAAUAUCAACUGUAUUAACUAACAGUCAUUGCAAUACACUGAAUGUCUUAUUAAUGUGAUCAAUUGCCGCAACCAAUACGCAAACAAAUUCCAUGAUCACAUUCAUCCAAUUCGUAUUUACAACAAUGUGAUUUUACUUGACCAGAGCAAACACAUAAAUUGAUUUGCUCCCACUAUAUCAAGUUAAGUUUAGUUCCAGCAAAUAGCACUAAACUUCUCAUUACUUAAACAAAUUAAGUAACAUAAAUAAUUACCAAUUGCUUCAAUAAAACCAUAAUCUGGUUUUCAAGCAUCCAUAUGAAUUAUAAUGGCUGGCUUAAAUACUCUUAGCCUUAUGCUUAUAUUCGAACAUACGAUUCUCCCACUUAAGCAUAAGGAGAAUAUACUGCACAGUCAAUAAAGAAAUCGGAGAUAUGAACCAAUUGGUUCCCGAUUCCUUACCUAUUGCAUAAUCUCAGUUUAGUUAUAUACACCUAAACCAUUAUACAAAACAGUCUAUGUAUCAAAAGAUAGUCACAAUCCAUUCGGAAAAACUUAUCUCACAUAAACUCAAAAUCACUAGUUUCAACAAUGAUCAAAAUCAGAAUAGCAAGCACAAUAUUUUUGCAUUCAAUUUGAUCUUAACUAGUUCAAUAUCCAUCGAGCAAGAUCAACCAAAAUUUGAUAAUGUUUGGAUAUAUAUGACAACAAUAUAUCUUGAUUAAAACGAGAUAAUCAAGACUACUAUUUCUUCUGGAGAACUCGAAGUUCAUCUUUCUCCUUAUUUGUGAUUUCAACCAAAAUAUAAUAGCGGAAGCAUGCAUCAUGAAAUCACAAAUAUACAUAUACAAUAAGCAUGCAUCGAUAUAUAUACAUGAUAAGAUUAGUCGACAAUAAUCCAGAUUAAAAAUCUUCAUGCCUUUAAUUCAUUGUCAACACCAUCAUCAAUUAUAUACAGAUUCGUAAGCAAGUCCUUGGAGAAAUAAUGAUAACUGCAUAUCAUUAGUCUUAUGAAUUUCCAAUAAGAUGACAAAUAAUUAUUUGUUUUCCGAUUCAUAAUAGAAUAUAUAUUUUGUAAAUGGCUAAAAGUUUAUUGUCACAAGACUCAUUAUAGGCGGUCAAUAAAACAUCUACCUUAUAUAUUCAUUUGUUCAUAUAUUUUCUUGUAUGCUUGCAUCAAUAUUCAGAGAAACUUAUGCAAGUUCUAUUUGAUAUAGAUAAAGCCGCAUGCCCAUAAUUACAACAUCUAUGCAUGAAUGCUAUCUAGAUAUGAAUACAAAUUUAAUUCAUAUAUGCGAUUUAUGUAUAAGUCACAAAGCAAUUGGCAUCCAUUUUAUAUAUGCAUUCCAUGUUGUUGCUUUAUAUUGCUUGCCGACUUGCACAUGAUAUGCAGUCAAAUCCAUUCCAACCCAAACUUGAUAUAAAUCAAACCAAUUGAAAAUCAGGAAUUGACAAUAAGAUGUGCACUUGUGCUGCUCCCCGCAAUUAAAUGUAUUGAGAUUCAUACAUGAAACAAUGCAUAUACACAGACUCUUUAAUGAAAAAUGGAAAAGUAUAUCUAGACAAAUUUGUUUAUGCAGCAAAGUAUGAUUCCAGACAUCUCACAUAAAUCACAAGUUGGCAUCUAUAGGGAUUUCGAGUUUAAUCAUGCCUUUACAAUUUAUAUAAAUAAACAAGCAUACUCGAAAUAGCAAAAGACCUAAUCAUUAUGCUCCAACUCAUCACACUAUAAUCAUGCAUAUAGGAGAACAAUUAAUCACGCAUGAAACAGUGAAGUGAGUUACAUGAAUGCAUCAUUGGACUCGUAUUCGUCAACCAAUUGCAAUUCCUCGACUCCAAAUUAACGAAAUUACUUAUCCAUCAGUGCUCGAGAAUCGUCCAUGCGGAUUGUCAUCACUCCAAAUUCCCAUGCGGAUUGCCAUCAUAAUCAACACAGCGGAAACAAGAAUUUUGAAAAUCAGAAUUACGAUGUUUAUGAGAGAUGUAUACUGAUAAAUUACUAUACUUAUCACCAAAUAAGCAAACAUGAAAAAGUUCUCUCAACCCCAGAUUGAGAAACACGGUUUCAGAAUAAGUAACUAAUCUUGACACCAAUUCCAUUUAACUCAAUCUAAAUGUUAAACAAAAUUCAAGAAAUUGCAAUAAGAUUUCAAAAUACAUACCCUUUUAUGAAUGGUUUCAGGAUCGUAUCAAUCUUAGCAUCAAUCAUGUAUAAAGAUUGCAGUAUUGUAUAUAUUACAUCAGGAGUUUUGUAUGUAUCAAGGAUCAAAAUUCGAUAAACUUGAUAUAAUACAUCAGGAGUUUUGAAUUAUAAACAUACCUUUGGGAACAAAAGAAAAAUAUAUAUUAUCGCAAAUCCAAAUCUUAAACAAAGAUGGUUGUGAACGAGAAGAUCUAGAAGCAAAGCAUGUUUGGAUCAUCACAACUUCAAACCAAGAAGAGAAAAAAGGUGCAAACCCAGAAAAUUUCGUACAAGGUUAUGAGUUUUGCCAAUAUUCAAUUUAAACAAGGUUAUACGUUUUCUAGGUUUGGAACGUUUAAGUGUUCAUAGCUUUUCCAUCAGAUUCUUGUGUAAAUUUCGAACUCAAUGACAAUAAUCAACUAGGCUCUGAUACCACAUGUAAGAACUUUAACACAGAUCGAUGAUAUGCCAAUUGAAUUACCAAUGUUCUGAAACAAGUCAAGUGACAAAACUUAUGAACAAGAACAAGGAUUGCCGAGAACAUACCUGCAUAAUUUGAACUUGAAGAAACCAUAACAGCCUCUGUGUUCAAAACCUUCUCCUCUUUUACGAUCACAAUAGCUUUUCUAAUCAAUAGGACUUAGAACAACAUAAGCUAAUAUCGCAAGAGCAGUGGUUUGAACCAUAAAUAUAUAGUGCUCCUUCGUCCAUUCCCUAUCAGAAUUGGACUAGGAUUCAAAGACAUACAAACCAUAAAGAUUCAUGAGACUUUAUAAAGUUCCAACACAAAGUUCUUUUCCAAAACCAAUUGGAACUUCUCUCAAGACUGCAUUCCUUAUCAGAUUUAGACUUCUUUAUAAUAUCAAUUAUCCCAAGACUUAUAAGAAUCAUACUCAUACUCUUACAGGGAUGAGAUAAGGAAUGGGACCCUGACAAAGACUGGUAAUAGUAUUAGUAAUUAGUCUUCGGUAGUUCAAAGACGACCGUGGAACCAAGUUUGAAUGCACUCCUCCCCUUUUUUUUAUUCUUGAAUUAAAAAAAUCAAAAAGGAAAAUUAAUAGGUUGAAAUAAAAAUAUAAAAAAAGUACAAAAGAAGGAAACGGUGUGAAGAAAGUCCCUCUACAAUACGUAAUACUUUUGUUACAUUUUUGAAAGUCAAUUGCAUGUUGCCGUGCAUUUUAAUUUUUGAGUAUAGAAUACUUGAUAUAUUGUCAAUUAAUCAUCCGUAUUUUGUCAAUUAGUGUCUGGUACCUAUGGAUCCUUUAAUCUGGACCGUACAACUAACAGUCCUGAUUUGAUUUGCACAUCAAUCAAUGGUCCAAAUUAAAGGAUCUAUAAGCUCCAUAACGAAUCCAAUUCCUAAAAAAUUUGAUCGUAUAAUGAAUAAUGAAUGUACCAAACUCCCACAAAGAAGAUCCGGAGAGAAUCCUCUUCCUAUCAUGUCGAUAUCGUGGAGCAAAAGGUAACAGUCAGCAAACGAAGUUGAUAGGAUAGGGGUACUGUGAUUGAUACAAGUGCAAAGACGACGAGGGAUAAAGUGAUACUUUCGUGCUAGUUCCGAGGACAUUUUGGUAACUAAGCCAUAUUUAGUACUCUUUUUUGGUGUCGUAUCAUUCUCUCUCUCAAAGAUUAAUUAUAAGAGAACUUUAACAAAAAGCUUCAUGUAUUAUUUAUUUUAAUAAAAAAUUAUAUUUUUACACUAAAAAGUUAAUUAUGGUAUUAUUCACUUUAGUUUUUUUUUUAUAGUUAAAACUCAAAGUUUUCAAGUAUUUUUUAUUAAUUUUCCUUAAUUAUGAUUUACAAAUAGUAGCUGAAAUGGGUCUCUUUUUUCUUUAUAUGCAAUUGUAUUUCAUUACUUCUUUUGUCUUUUUCUUCAGCACUGAAAAAAAAAAAAGAAAAUUGCUUUCAUACAUCAUUUCUCAUUUUAUCACACUUUUGUUUUGUUGUAUUUAGAUUGAAAUCACUAGCGACAAAAAUUGUCCGAAUGGAAUCGUUUUAGUUGUUCCCGACUAAUAUAAAAGUCCUAACAAAGACCGACAAGAGCAACGUGGGGCUGGUAAAAAAAAGUUGAGUCAAAAUCGCUACCCAGAAAAUUGUCCGGAAAGAAUCUUUUUAUAGCUGUUCCCAUCUGUCUAGUUUGAUGAAUGGAAGUUCCGAGGAAGGUUGCUUUGCUUUAACUUUAUCACGUUCACAUUGAAGGUGGUAGGAAACUGCUGCUUCACAUUGAAGGCAGAAAAUCAUGCGAAAGGCCUGAUAUAUAACAAGAACGAAUUCUUGGUGCAAGUACCAGUCCAGCAUCCAUACUCAAUUCUUUGAAAGGCCCUUACCUAGAUUUCUCCAAUGAACAAUCAACUUGUCUCUUCUUCUUCCUUCAGCAGUCCUCCUUUGUGGAAGUACGAUGUCUUUUUGAGCUUUAGAGGAGAGGAUACACGAACCAAUUUUACAGAUCAUUUUUACAAGGCGUUGGACGGCAAGGCAAUCACCACGUUCAUUGAUCACCAACUUAAAAGAGGAGAAGGAAUAUCUCAGGCUCUUCUCGAAGCAAUUGAUGAGUCGAGAAUUUCGAUCAUUAUAUUAUCUAAAAACUAUGCAUCUUCAAGAUGGUGCUUGGAAGAGCUCGUACGUAUCCUUGAAUGUAGAAAGUCAAGGAAGCAAAUUGUUUUGCCAGUUUUUUACAAAGUGGAUCCGUCCGAUGUACGAAAGCAAACGAGUAGUUUGGUGACGCGUUUACAGAAAAGUUCAAAUUCGAAGACAACAAGGAGAAGAUCCUCACAUGGAGGAGUGCUCUUACAGACGCAGCAAAUUUAUCAGGAUAUACUUUCAAAGAGGGAGAGUACGUAUAUUUCUUCCCCUUAUACUGCCUUUAAUCUGAAAAGAUGACUUUACCUGAAAUUCAAUUUUCUUUACAUAAAACCCAACCUAGUUUUUGUGCUUGACUAAUUAAGCUUAACAAGUUACAUUUUAUAUCUUUUGGUUUCCUAAAAUACCCCUAAUAACAAUUUGAUUCUCUAGCAUAUUUAUAUCCAUUUAUUGUGUUAAACCUAUUGCAAGUUUAACUGGUCACUAGUACUCAUUGUGUUAAAUUUCGAAUUGGCUGGAUUAAUUACCCGAGUGUACCCAUUUUUUGUUGUUCAAAUUUUAAAUUUAUUAAUAUUUUUUGGUUUCCUAAUUUUGUUUGAAAAAUCAAUUUACCUACGUUUUUGAAAAAUUAACUUACAAAUUACUGAUUUUGAUUAAUAAUGUACCUAUGGUGUUGUUUUAUAAUUUACCGAUUACUAAUGAUGUUAGGUAAAUUAGUACUUUUAGGAAAGAAAUGAUACAUAUCCAUACAAAACAUCUUUUUUCAUCCGAACAACAACAUAACAUUUAAAUGCAAAAAAAAAGGUCCAUGUCUUAUGGAAAGAUGUUAGGAUUUUACAGAGUAAUAAACGGCAAUGUGAAAUUGUGAAUAAUGGAAUAGGGGUAAAUCAUUUUAUUAAUGGGUCAAUUAUUAUCUUACAUGAUUCUGUAUUUAGUUGCAAGCGGCACAUGCUUGACUGUAUCAGUGAUUAUCCAUACCUCUGUUUUUUUUCAAUCUUUUUUAUCUUUUCAUUCUCUUCUUCUUUUUACCUUUUUUUCUUUUUUCAAAGAAAUAUAGCAUAAAAAGUUGAUUGACUAAAUGUGUCAAUUUUUUUAUAUAAACUGGUAGGUAUGAAGCUACAUUUAUCAGUAAGAUCGUGGAGGAGAUCUUCGUCCCCGUACAACAAUGCACGCAUUUGAAGGUAGCCAAUUACCCAGUUGGAAUGGAGUCUUGUGUAGAAAAGGUGAAAGAGCUUUUAGGUGUCAGGGGAAAUGAUCCGUGUGUGGUUGGGAUUUGGGGGUCAUUUGGAAUCGGCAAGACAACAGUUGCAAAAGCUGUUUAUAAUGCAAUUGCUUAUGAGUUUGAAGGUAGUUGUUUCCUGGCAGAUGUUCGAGAAACGUCAAUACAAUACAGAGGCCUACUCCAACUACAAAACACUCUUCUGAGUGAGAUUGGUGGUUCAGAGUGGAAAGCUGUCAAUCUUCAUAGAGGAAACAUCCUUAUAAAGAAACUGUUGAGGGGAAAGAAGAUUCUCUUAAUUCUUGAUGAUGUGGAUGAUUUUGAGCAGUUAGACAACUUGGUUGAAGUCCAUCAGUUAGGUGAGGGUAGCAGAGUGAUCAUAACCACAAAAAAUAAAGGAUUGCUGGAAUCUUGUAAAGUUGAGCUGAUAUACAAGGUCCAAAAGUUAGAAGACAACAAAGCUAUUGAGCUUUUUAGUUGGAAUGCCUUCGGAAAAGAAAAACCUCCAGAUGAUUAUUUGGGACUCGCACGACGUGCAAUAGCCUAUGCUCAAGGCCUCCCGUUAGCUCUUAAUCUUAUAGGUUCUCAUCUGCGUGGUAAAAAUAUAGUUCGUUGGCAAGAUAUUUUGGAUAGUUACGAUGAAGAACCUCAUAGAGGGAUUCAAAGAGUACUUCGGAAAAGUUAUGAUACCUUGGAAUAUGUCCAACAACAACUUUUCCUAGACAUUGCAUGCUUCUUCAAGGGUGAAGAUAAAGACAAAGUGUUACAGAUAUUAAAAGGAUCAAAUCUCAAAGUACGUCAACAUUGUAUUGAUGUUCUCGUUGAGAAUGCCAUUAUAACUAUUGAACAUAAUAGGAUUUUGAUGCAUGACUUGCUAGAACAAAUGGGUAAGCAUAUAGUUUGGGAAGAAUCGCCCACUGAACCAGACAAGCGGAGCAGAUUGUGGCUUCCUAAAGAUGUGUACCGUGUUCUAACUGAAAACAGAGUAAGUAGAAUAUAUGUUCUUGCAUUUGAUUUAAUUGGCAUGAUUUUGGAAACACAAAAAAAAUUAAAAUCCUUUUGAUUUCUUUGUUAUAUGAUUUGUUUGUUAACACUAUUUAUUUUUCCAUCUUAGGGAACAAAGAAAAUUAAAGGCAUUGUGGUGAAGUUGCCCGUGCCAGAUGUGAUACCCUUGAAUACAAAAAGCUUUUCCAAGAUGGUAAAUCUUGAAUUUUUUAUAAUUCGUAAUGCACACUUUUCUGAAUGCGUUGAGGAUUUACCCGACGAUUUGAGGUGGAUUGAAUUCGGUGGGCUUCAUUACUGGGGAUCCAAUAUUCUUCAAAAGCAUAUACUUACAUUCAAUUUGCAAUCCAAUUGUCAUAUCAGAAAUCUUGUCACGUUUAUUAUGCCAAACAGUGACAUCAAACAAUUGAAGGUGUUUCAGGUAUGUAUACUUAUUAUAAAUGAAUUUGGACAAUUACUAAUUUAAUUGUAUAUUUUAUUUUUGGAAAAAGAAAUUUGCCAAAGCUUUUCAUUGUUAAUUAUUCUAUUUAAAGUUUGUGAUUUUUUUUUCUUUUGAUUUUGAUUUCACAGAUUUGGCAAUGCUUACAUCUUUGAAUUUAAGUGGUUCCCAAUUCUUAGAAAAAAUUCCCAACUUAUCCGGAAGUCCAAACCUAAAGAAGUUGAUUCUAAAUGAGUGUAACCGUUUAGUUGAAGUUGAUGAUUCUGUUGGAUUCCUUGAUAAACUUAAUAGAUUAAGUCUUAAUGGGUGCUCUAGGCUUGAGAGAUUUGCGACGAGACUUAGAUUGAGAUCCCUUCGUAGACUUACUCUUUAUGGUUGUACAAGGCUCAAGAGUUUCCCAGAAAUAGAGGCCGAGAUGGAAUCUCUAUAUGAUUUGGACAUAUCAAAAAGUGGCAUAAGAGAAUUGCCUUCAUCAAUUGCAUAUCUUACCGGGCUUAAAUUUUUGUCGGCAAGUUAUUGUGAGAACCUUACAGGUACAUCCUUACAUCACAGUUAUGGGUUGCAACAUCUCUACCGUAUUGAAAUGAUUAGAUGCCCAAAACUGGUGACAUUUGGGAAGUUUUCAACUCGCUUAGACACUUCACAUUACAACGGUAUCCCAUUAGCCAUUUUCAACGCAUGCAAGCUUUAUCUUGUUGAAUGCAAUUUAUCAGAAAGUGAUUUCCUUGUGCCUCUUCAAUAUGAACCAUCCAGUCUUCAUUGCUGGUCCACAUUAAUAGAACUUGGUCUGUCGGGAAACAAUUUUGUUAGUCUUCCGGAAUGCAUUAGCAAAUUUGUCAACUUGGAAAUACUUUGGUUGACUGGUUGCAAGAGGCUUCGGGAAAUUCCACAUGCCCUUCCACCAAAUCUAAGGGAAUUAUAUCUGAAUGAUUGCACAUCAUUGGAGAAAAUUCCAAAGUUGCCCUCGGGGCUUAGGUGUCUGCAGUUGACUAAUUGCUUUGGACUAAGUGGCGAUGAGGUGGCAAAGUUGGAAAAUAAUUUGUUGAACUGGAAUCAGGUUCGUCUCUCCUCUCUUAAUUUCUCUUGAAAUUAAAAUAUUUAAUUUGUUGAUACUUGGGAGGGAGAACAGAUCAUGAUUGUUUGUAGUUAUUUACGUAUUAUUCACUAUUGCAGGAAUUUCUUCGGUGCUCUCAAUUGCAAGUUACGUAUCCAGGCGAUGAAAUUCCAAAGCGGUUUAGCUAUACCUCUAAACAUCUAACAGCCACUAGGAUUGAAAGUGUAGGAAAAGGUACAAGGCAACAUGAUUAUGUUGGAGGUGGUGAAUUUAGUUUUGAAAUUUCUCUAAAUUUACAGGAGAGGGAGACGUUAUUAGGAUUGGCUCUAUCUUGUGUUUUUCCACCACAAUUGACUGGAGGGAUUUGUUAUUACUACAAUCUUCGUCUUUACAUCAACGAAGCAAGUGAUUAUCAACAAUUUAGGUGGAUAGUGGAAGGCAAGGAGGCUCAUGUGGGGCUAGUGUUAGUGGAUUUAGAGAACCAGGGAGAAAGCCCAUGUGGGGCUCAUGUUAGUGGAGAUAUUUGUAAAGUUAAAGUUCAAUAUCCCAACUACUCGAGCAUUAAAAGCUGCGGGGUGCAGCCCCUAUUGCGCAAAGGAGAUGAACGGCUUCCCUCGUCUUUGGAACCAACGAGUAGCCUUGGAUCCUCAGAUAUCGUCAAUGAUGAAUAUGAUCGGCAACAACAAUGGCCUUCCUUAUCUUUGAACCCAGCGGAUGAUCAUCCGACACACACACAGAUUGAUCACAAUGUUCCUUCUGAUAUUGAGGAGGAGCAAGAGCAACCGUCCACCAUUUCUGAUUUACUAGGAGUUUGGGUACGUACAUUUCAGUUUUAGCCAUUUUUUUAUUAUUCUUUAUUGUGAUAUCUUUUUUAAAUUAAUAUAAUAAUAAUUAAUUAAUUUAAAUUAAAUAAAGGAAAAAAUUUGAACAGUUUGCAAUCUGCAUAAUCAAAGAUUUCAUAUCUUUAGAAACAAAGAUUUCAUAUCUGCAGGUGGUUAGGCCAUCUCCAACCGAUAGCUGGUCAGAGGGUUCGUUUUAACCAUCUGGCCCUCCAAGAUUCUUCAAGAUAUUAAUAUUUUAAUGAACAGUACAUGACCAUAUUUGCCUCCGUCUCCAACCGAGGGUCAUAGGGCCAAACAUAAUUUAUUAUUUAAAAACUACAACUUAAAUUCAAAUCCAACGGCUAAGUGACAAAUUUAAUUUAAUGUUGUUUCAUGUUACUUAAUUUAAUUUAAUGUUGUAUAAUGGCUUAGGAAGUUAUAGGAAAAAAAUAGAAUUUAAAAAAAAUAUGAAACAAAUUUUGUGAAAUAGAAGUUAUAGAAAAAAAUGGAGUUUAAAAAAAAAUAUGAAACAAGUUUUGUGAAAUAAAAGUUAUAGGAAAAAAAAUAGAAUUUAAAAAAAAUAUGAAACAAAUUUUGUGAAAUAGAAGUUACAGGAAAAAAAUGGAAUUUAAAAAAAAUAUGAAAUAAAUUUUGUGAAAUAGAAGUUAAAGGAAAAAAUUGAAGUUGUAUGAAAUUUUUUGUGAAAUAGAAGUUAUAGGAAAAAAUAGAAGUUAUAGAAAGUUAUAGGAAAAAAUAGAAGUUAUAUGAAAAUUUUUGUAAAUAAAAAAUAAUAAUAAAAAUGUAAAAAAAAAUAUAUAUCAAAUGAAACCCAACGGCUAGCUGAGUCAGCUAGCCGUUAUAUUAAAAAAAAUUCCAAACUAUUAGUGUCGGUUAUAAUUGACACUAAUAGUAAAUAAAUAAAAAAAUUUGCCUAUGAAUACCUAUUACUGUCGGUUAUAACCCACAGUAUUAAAAAAUUCUUCUUUAAUGUUGUCGGUUAUAUCUGACAGCAAUAGGGAAACUAUAAAAAAAAAAAUAGCCAGCCCGGGGCUGGCUGGCCGAAAGCAGCCAGCCCUUUGGCCCUUUGAAAUUCCGUGGGGCCCUCCCAGAUUCCAGAGCCCUCGGUUGGAGACGGUUUUAGGGCUAUUUUCGGCCCUCUGGCCCUCUGGACCCUUCGGUUGGAGAUGGCCUUAGUUCUUAGAAAAACAGAAACCACAUUUGUGUCUUGAUGUACCUUUUACUGAUAAAAUCAAAUUCUAAUUAAUCAAAACAAACAAUUAUGGAAGGAAAAUAUACAAGGGGAAAUGAGAUUAUAAGUACAAAAUUCAAGAUUAAUUACCUAAAAACUUGGUUUUGUUCGUAUAAGUACAAAAUUUCUACACGAAGAUCAAAGAACUACAUCGUUUGGAUGAACAUGUAAACCACAUGCUUCUCUCUCUGUUAAUUAAGUUUACACGCAGAGAUGGAAGUCUUGUAGGACUACUGUUUAAUCAAGAGUCCCAGGUUUGCAACUAUUUUUUUAUUAGCAUUUACUUCUGCUUUUUUAAUUAAUGAAUAGGUGGAAAUUUGAUUCGGUGUUGAUUAUAAGAUUUAGUAGAAUUUUAAUAUCAAGAGGAGAUAACAAUGUAGAAAACAUAGCCCCUUGAAUCAACUUGAUUGAUCUCGACCCUCAUGAUCUCACGGGUCUCGGCCUGCUUCGGUUGUUUAAAUUUCUGGUGUAAGCCAAGAAAGUGAACUCAUUAAUGUUGCUGCUCUAGUUAGUCAGCCUGCUUUUUCUGACAAGCCUGCGGUCUCUUUAUGUUCCACCAUGGGAAGCUGGGAGUGAAGCGUGCAUUAGUUGUUGGAAUUGGACUUCAAAUUCUUCAACAGGUUUGGUAGAAAAAGUUAAAAGGAAAAUUUUAUUUAAAACCAUGUAACUUUUUUUCUACACUCCUCAGGUGUAUGAGCAGGCCCGCGUCGCCAUUCUUCUAUCUAACAUAGGGUUGAAUCCAACAUUUGCAUCUCUCUUCGUAAGUGCCAUUACAAUUGUCUUAAUGGAUAUAGCUGGCAGAAGAUAAUUUCGAACACCUUCGGUUUCCUAGAACCGAUUACUAACUUUUAAUCAAAAUUAUAACUAGGGUAAAUUAUCCAAACGAUAAAAUAAAGUUUAGUGUCACUCCAUUUCCAUUUUAGACUAAAAGUUUGUAACCGGUUCUAUCUAUAUGCAUAUUUGCAAAAAAUAAGCUUUCCUUUUUGCCUUUCUUGGUAUGCCGGUCGCUGCUGCUCUCCACAUUACAUUGUCCCUCACUCUUCUUGUAGUUGCCAACAUUGUCAACUUGGGAACUGUUCUGAAUGCAACAAUUUCCACCGCCGUGCCUGCUGCUUCGUCAUGGCAUUUGGAGUAACCCCGAACAUUCUCUGCGCUGAGAUCAUCCCUACGAGCAUCCACGACCUCUGCAUUGCCAUCUGAGCCCUCACAUUCUGGAUUGGAGACAUCAUCAUCACUUACGCAUUUCCUGUCAUGCUCUUCUCCGUUGGAUUUGCUGGCAUCUUGGGAAUCUAUGUUGUCCGGUGCAUUGUUCCUGGAUAUUUGUUUACUUGAAGGUGCCUGAAACUAAAGACAUGCCUCUUGAAGUUAGCUGCUGCUGAUGCAUCUGUUGGAUUCCAAUGAUAACUGAUUUGAUUGUUCAGAGGAUUUGAAAGUUUGGUUUGGCUUUAGACUGGGAUUACGAGGACAGGAUUUGAGUUGGAAAAAGUGCUGAUGACUGGAUUGCAUUUUUAGAAAGUGAUUUUGUAAUCAUCACUAUCCCUCACUUAAUUCUGCACCAGUAUCUUUGGUACCAAAAAAUCAAUUCUCUUGGGUCAUAAGCUCAUAAGUGACAUGUUUUGUUCGACUAUUUGCCUCACUUAAUAUUAAUUUGACCUGCCUACUUUAACUAUUUAUUUAUACAAAUAUUUGUACUAUCUUUCUAAUAGAGAUAAGACGUAUAUAUAUUUGCGAGCCGUACUUCUAUUAGAAAAAUUAUAUGUAAAUAGAUGAUAAAUGUAGCAUUACUAUUUUUAUAAUAUGUUUUAAAAUUUUGAAAAAAAAAAAAAAGGAACUGUUUUUAACUGCAGGCCUAAAGCAGAGCCCUGUUGCCGCCUAGCAAUAGAAAAGUCUUCACCAAAUUGAGUUAGAAGAAUUAGGGUUUUAGAGCUCCAAAGAUCCAAACUUUAUCAGUCUCUCCGAAAGUAAUUAGAGAAAUGGAAACCCAAUCAAAGGACGGAGACUCUCUGGAGAAGCGGCCCGGCAUCUUCUUCCUCGGCUCCCCCGGCGUCGUCGAACGCUCUCUCAUUUCCCGUAUGCUCUCUAUCUUUCUCUCUCCUUUGGUCGAUGCUAAAUUCAUGACCUCUUGAUUUCUAGGCUUACUGGAUUUGAAUUUUUGACGAUGCUUCUGAUUAUUCAUCGUCAUCUCAGCUGGUAGUUGAUGGGUAUGUAAAAUUUGAAUUUUGGGAUCAAAGAAUUCAACUCUUAGAAAUUUUGGGAACAAACAAUUCGUUUUGAAUUCUUUUGAAAUGUGUAUUUUGAUGAUUUUUGUUGUAAAGAAAUAGAUGGAAUAUCUCUACAAAUUACUACACAGCUGGUGUUUUGGUAUGGAUGGCUCAUCUCCAUGACGAAUUUUUUGCAGAGGCCCUCCCAAUGUAUGAGCAGUUGGCUGCCUUGAUCUUGGUUUUCGACACAACUGAGGUUUUGGUCUCUUGCCACUCACUCUUUGUCACUUUGUUUACUUGUUUAUCAUGAUUUUCAAUGUGUCUUAUAUCAAUUUGCUCUCAUUAUGCUGCAGUUGUCGUCUCUGUCUGCGCUUAAGAAAUGGGUAUCUCAAACUGAUCUUCAAAAGUUCGAUAUACUAGUAUGCGUAGGGAAUAAGGUUGAUCGUGUUCCGGGUCACCCGGUUCAUGCCGAAUAUAGAAGACGACUGCAGAAGCUUGGAGACCCGUUUGCUGAUGCCGGUCCAGGGUUCACUGCGUAGGGAAUCUCCGAGACUGAAGGAAGCAGGUUUAUUGGGGGAUGACGAACCAUUUUGGGAGGCAAGGCACACAUGUUUGGAAUGGUGCACUGAGCAUAACAUUGAGUUCGUCGAAGGUUGUGCUUCAAAUGCUGAUUUUGACAGAUGUAAGGUAGCCCUUCUUUCUGACUUGUAGUUUAUGGCAAGUUUUAUACGAACGUGAAAAAUAAAAAGUAUGCUGCUCGAGGGUAGAAACGUCGUGCAAUUAGGAUGAUUGAAGAUAGAUCGAAGGUAGCCCUUCUUUUUGGCUGUUCCGAUCACAUCCUUCUUGGGUAAACUAAAAGAGAAUUGACGGUAGAAAUGAAUGCACUUUGGUAUGUGUUGAAUCUUUAUCGAUCCCUCUUUUUUUAAUGUUUAACAAUUGAACUCAUUAAUAUUAAAAUAGAUAAAAAUGAUAAAAAGAGUACGAACAAAAAAAAUCUUAAAUGCUUUUGUUGCAGUCUUUCAAGUUAAUUGUGUAUUUUCAUGCAUUUUAACCUUUGUAUGUACAUAAUUGAUUUGUCAUACGGUCAUAGUAGCUUGACAUCGUUUAUGUGUCAUGGGGUGAAAAGAACAUGUGCUUCAAUAACAAACAAAAAAAAAAUGAAAAUUGUUUGAAAUUUUUGAGUUUUCAUGAUAAGGACAAAAUAAAGGAUAAAGUGAAUAGUAUCAAGAUUGACUUUUUAGUAUAAAUUAUUUUCUCAUUUGUGAUAGAAAAAAUCACCUUAAAUGACUCACCUUUCUUCAUGUAUGUGACAUUAUUUAUAUGGUUCAAAAUGACACAAACCGGAUAUAAAUAAUGUGGGGGUGUGGUUAAGGAAAAAAUGCAUUAUUACUUUGGUAACUUAGAAACCACCUAUUGUUGGUGAAACCAGAAUUUUCCUAACAUUUACUCACUGAUGUUAUCGUUUUGUAAAAAAAUAAAGAUAAACUCUGCACCUCCAUCCUUUUUUCAACGCACUGCAUAUUCCUCUGCUUUUCUCUUGUUUUUAUUUUUUUAUUUUUUUUCUCGUUACGAAAAUGAAAAUUAUCCAAAAAGAAUGGUAUUAGCUAUUCCCCAUCCUAAAUGGAAGCGUGAAGGGAUGAGAUAGGGAAUGGGACCCUGACAAAGACUGAUAAUAGUAUUAGUAAUUAGUCUUCGGUAGUUCAAAGACGACCGUGGAACCAAGUUUGAAUGCACACCUCCCUUUUUUUUUUAUUCUUGAAUUAAAAAAAUCAAAAAGGAAAAUUAAUAGGUUGAAAUAAAAAUAAAAAUUAAGUACAAAAGAAGGAAACGGUGUGAAGAAAGUCACUCUACAAUACGUAAUACUUUUGUUACAUUUUUGAAAGUCAAUUGCAUGUUGCCGUGCAUUUUAAUUUUUGAGUAUAGAAUACUUGAUAUAUUGUCAAUUAAUCAUCUGUAUUUUGUCAAUUAGUGUUUGGAGCCUAUGGAUCCUUUAAUUUGAGACGUACAAAUUGAAUUCAACCGUCUUCAUUAAUUCAUUUUCCUGACCCAUCGCACACAACUAACGGUCUUGAUUUGAUUUGCACAUCAAUCAACGGUCCAAAUUAAAGGAUCUAUAGGCUCCAGACAUUAACAUCCAAAACGGAUCCAAUUCCUAAAAAAAUUGAUCGCGUACCAAACUCCCACAAAGAGGAUCCGGAUCCUCUUCCUAUCAUGUUGAUAUCGUGGAGCAAAAGGUAAUAGUCAGCAAACGAAGUUGAUAGGAUAGGGGUACUGUGAUUGAUACAAGUGAAGACGACGAGGGAUAAAGUGAUACUUUCGUGCUAGUUCCGAGGACAUUUUGGUAACUAAGCCUUUAUAUUUACUACUCGAUUUGAUUUAUAAUUAAUACUCUUUUUGGGUGUCGUAUCGUUCUCUCUCUCAAACACUAAUUACAAUUUGCAGCUCGUAGCUGAAAUGGGGUCCCUUUUUUCUUUAUAUGCAAUUGUAUUUCAUUACUUCUCUUGUAUUUUUCCUCAGCACUGAAAAAAAAAAGGGAAAAUUGUUUUCAUACAAAAAUUGUCCGAAAGGAAUCGUUUUAGCUGUUCCCAUCUGUCUAAUAUAAAAGUCCUAACAAAGACUGACAAUAGUAACCUGGGGCUGGUAAAAAAAAGUUGUGUCAAAAUCGCUACCCAGAAAAUUGUCCGGAAGGAAUCUUUUUAUCACGUUCACAUUGAAGGUGGUAGGAAACUGCUGCUUCCUACAUGGGCAGAAAAUCAUGCGAAAGGCCUGAUAUAUACGACAAGAGCGAAUUCUUGGUGCGAGUACCAGUCCAGCAUCCAUACUCAAUUCUUUGAAAGGCUCUUCCAUUUACCUGGAUUUCUCCAAUGAACAAUCAACUUGUCUCUUCUUCUUCCUUCAGCAGUCCUCCUUCGUGGGAGUACGAUGUCUUUUUGAGCUUUAGAGGAGAGGAUACACGAACCAAUUUUACAGAUCACUUUUACAAGGCGUUGGACGACAAGGCAAUCACCACGUUCAUUGAUCACCAGCUUAAAAGAGGAGAAGAAAUAUUUCCGGCUCUUCUCGAAGCAAUUGAAGAGUCGAGAAUUUCGAUCAUUGUAUUCUCUGAAAACUAUGCAUCGUCAAGAUGGUGCUUGGAUGAGCUUGUACAUAUCCUUGAAUGUAGAAAGUCAAGGAAGCAAAUUGUUUUGCCAGUUUUUUACAAAGUGGAUCCGUCCGAUGUACGAAAGCAAACGAGUAGUUUUGGUGACGCGUUUACAGAAAAGUUCAAAUUUGAAGACAACAAGGAGAAGAUCCUCACAUGGAGGAGUGCUCUUACAGAUGCAGCAAGUUUGUCAGGAUAUACUUUCAAAGAGGGAGAGUACGUAUAUUUCUUUCCCUUAUACUGCCUUUAAUCUGAAAAGAUGAUUUCAUCUGAAAUUCAAUUUUCUUUACGUAAAACCCAACCUAGUUUUUGUGCUUGACUAAUUAAGCUUAACAAGUUAGAUUUUAUAUCUUUCGGUUUCCUAAAAUACCCCUAAUAACAAUUUGAUUCUCUUGCAUAUUUAUAUCCAUUUAUUGUGUUAAACCUAUUGCAAGUUAAAUGGUCAUUAUUAAUUGUGUUAAAUUUCGAAUUGGCUGGAUUAAUUACCCGAGUGUACCCAUUUUUUGUUGUUCAAAUUUUAAAUUUAUUAAUAUUUUUUGGUUUCCUAAUUUUGUUUGAAAAAUCAAUUUACCUACGUUUUUGAAAAAUUAAUUUACAUAUUACUUAUUUUGAUUAAUAAUGUACCUGUGGUGUUGUUUAUAAUUUACCGAUUACUAAUGAUGUUAGGUAAAUUAGUACUUUUAUGAAAGAAAUGAUACAUAUCCAUCCAAAACAUCUUUUUUCAUCCGAACAACAACAUAACAUUUAAAUGC
rnacentral:lncRNA from 1 species